CUCUAGCGUUCGAUCUGGUAAGUGUACUGGUGGCCCAAGUGUACUGAUGUGCACCGUUUGUUUUGUUUUCUGUUUGUGUACUGGUAGCCCAAAGUGUACUGCAGUAUGUUAGUAGUGUAUUUGGGUGUACUUGUUUUUUCUUGCCAUCUGUCGCGUUAGGUAAGUAUACUAUUUGUAAGGCAAGUUGCGUUUAUUUGGGUGCGGUGGUAAUCUGAUGGGCUUUGAAUCAGCUGGCAAAUGAGUCUUGCGAAUCCUCUAAGCAGAGGCCCAUAUAACUCUUCUGAAGUGAGUUUCGUUUCUGAAUUCGUCGCCACAUUGUCGGAAAAAAAUAUUUCUGUGAAGUAGUAAGAGAUAGUGACGUCCUCUCACAAAUCAAAAUUAAAAAUAAAGAGAUAGUGACAUACCACAUUAUCUUGGCAACGACGACGAGGCAGCCAGCAACUCUGUUUCACGAAAGCAACCACAAGAAAUAUCGCACUCUUGAAAACAAUAUAAAACCGGAAGACCGGAGUGAGGUAGUUCUUAUCAAGUCAAUAGCAACAUAAAAACAGUGCACAUCCCCGCUAAAAGAAGACAGUGCGCAGUGUAAAAAACAGAAUUAUGACAUUUCUGAACAAGCAUAUCAACAUAAACUUGUGAAAAUAGCUGACACAACAAACAAUUGGUCUAGACCAAAUACAUUGAUAGUAGCAUUAGUGCGGCCUUUGCAGUUAUGGAUUGGUGAUUCAGGGGUUCUAUUGUUUAAGAUUAAAGAAGCCGAUAUUAAUUCUUCUGGAACUUCUAUUUAAGAACAGAUUAGCCAUAUUCAUCUUCUCGAGUCUCUAGGUUCUUUUCUGAUUACUGAUUAAUGAUGGGUUGCCUUCAUCUUUCAAAUCUGAAAGUAAAAAGUCUCAUAUCAUAACCGUCCCAAACAACACAAAGAGGAACAUCAUACUCAUUGCAAAUGACAGAAAGUUUCCAAAUAUUGAAUGGCAAGGCUACUAGGCUAGAACUUUCUUGCAGUGGUAUCACACUUGGUUUCACUCUCUUCUUCCACUUUCCAAGUGAUGACUGGAUCCAUGGUAUAUGUAAUUAGUAAAGAUUAAAGAACAGUCAUGAUAUUUUAAUGUAAACUGGAGAUUUGAUCUCAACCUCUCAGGUUCACCAAGGGGCAUCUACAAAAAGGUUAUACCAAGGGCCGCUAUCAAUGGGGCCGAGUGGUUUCCUUUCAUGGCAAAGGGAGAUUUGAUGUCGCUGUACUGUAUAUCUAAUUUCACGGCUCUAAGUGACCGCGACUAGCUUGAAGCCUUAAUUAACAACGAGAUCUCGUUGGUGCACUUACGGAUGAAUUUCCUCUGCAUAGUUCAUAUGUUUCUUUGGCAUGUAGGUCCAACCAGCUGAGAUUACAUAAUUGAUAGCUAUGCUUAUUGUUAAUGAAAUUCAAAAGAACCCGUAAAAUAAAAUAUCGUGUACAGAUAUCAUUUUCUGUUGCAACCAUGGCAUAAUUAAGAGGGAAAUCUACUUCAAGGUGACAAAACUAGUCAUGUUCAUAUGAUGCCUGUAAAGCCUAUUGCAUUAUAAAAUGGAAUGCUACAUUAAACUGCAAAAUUCCCCUUUCCUCGGCCAAUGGAAUGCCUAGAUAUUGCGCUCACAAUCAACGCUUUCUCACCAAUCAAUGACCGCUAGCCCAAUCAGAAGCCUUCUCCAAUCGAACAAAUCGCCUUUUCUUGUUUCCCGUGCAAGAGAUUUGGGACAGAAGUGGUAGCUAGGCUGAGUAGGGUAGGAGAGAAUUAAGUAAAAGUUGACGCAGAAAGAAUGCGAGCCUGAAGCGUGCAAGAAGUGAGGCAAAGUAAGGAAGGCCCAGCGCAUGCGUAUACUGGAUGGUUUGUUUUUUGGAAAAGGAGAAUUUUUUUUGGGAAAUGAGGAGGACCUGCAUCUGGACGAUGCAUGCAACUACUUUAUUAAUUAUUUACACGAGACCUUACAAAGUCAUACACAAGUAAGACUAAAGCCACCGUCUAGACAACAUCUGUUGGUACUCCUAUCCAGUAGAUGAAGGGAUGCUAAUAGUCUGGGCCUAAUACCAAACAGACCUCGCAGCCAAUCCUAACAUCUAAGACCUGAGGUCUCAACCAGGACGCCUGCCGGGUAUGGGGCACCCACCAGUCCGGCGCACUCCUCAACCAGGACACCUGUCGGGUAUGAGGCCGCCGCAGCCACCUGCCACCAAUCCAUCUUCAGUGUUGUACUGCUGCAUCUAACUUGCCCGGUCUAGCUGCCGUCGACGUCACCACGACGCCAGACAACGCCACCAUCCUGCGCUCGUCCAUCAUCACACGCCCACCGGCGAGACCCCGCUGCUCCAUGCCGCCGAGACCCGUCGUCGUCGACGCGAGAGAAGGCACGCCACACCACCUCAUUCCUCUUCCAUCCGACGCCGCUCCACAAACAAUGCCCCCAAGAGGGAACACGACACCAUAGCGCCGCUAUCGUCCGAUCCGGUGAUCUUAGGACUUCUCCCGGAGCGGCACGAGCAGGUUGACGAUAGUUGCUUGAUGAUGCCUUCAUCCAGGUAACGACGUAGACGCCGCCAUCACCCGCCAUGACCGGAGUCGGCUCGGUUUUCACCGGCAACUAUGUCUCCCCAACUCGCCGCCGAUGCUAAUAGUGGGAUCCAAGAUCUGUCAAUACGAGCCUGGCCAACCGCAUUUGGUGGAGAAGGCAGCCACCACUACCAUGCCCGGGCCAAGAGACCCGGACGUCCUCGUGCCACGAAGAUAACCCAAGGGGAUCUCCUCUUGUCGUUGUUGAGACGAGGCGCAACCGCAGUGGAGCUCGAUCUAAAUCCCUCGGUCCCAGAUUAGAUCUCAUCGCAGCCAAAAUCUCAUCCGCCAACGGCCGCCGCAGAUCUCCUGGCCACCGCCAACCCGCUGCGCACUGCCGUUGGAGGAGGAGGGAGAUGGAUGCCGCUGCCCCCACGCGUUACCGCUGGCCAAGGACUGCGUCGCCGCCGCCGCCUCACCACAGGGGCUUCGCCCCGCGGCUUCCUCAGCGACGGCGGCGGUAGUGGUAGGCGAUGGAGAGGAAGGGCUGAGGGCAGUGUGGACGGGGACUCCCCGGGGGCGGCGCGACGCCGCAGCCUCGGGGGAGAGGAUAAACCCCCGGUCUCUGCAUCUGGACGAUGAAUGCGUUACGUAUACUGGAUGGUGAAUCAUCCCUGGCCUUUUCAUGUGACAUGCAUCCAUCCAUCAGACGAACACUUGGCUGAAAGCAUGUACUGUAAACAUCAGACUGAGUCUGGGAUGGAUACUUGGAUAGAGAGCAUUCCGGCCUCCAAGUUGCCGGAUAGAUUCCGAUUCAUGGUGGACACCACUAAUAAUUGGUAUAUUCCUGCUGGAUCCGGUGUGCUUGGUCGCGCCAACGGUUUAUGCAGAACGAUAUGCUGCUUUGCUUUGCUUCAACUAAUCGGAAUGGCCGGUGCUGCCAUCUUUAUAGCUAGUAUCUACAGCGACAGGUAAGGUUCGAGAUGCCAUCGUUCAUGUUCAGAGCUAAAAUCUCUGUUUAUCUGAUAUAUGAGCUAGAAAUUUUCUCGCACCAACUGCCUUAUUUUGAUUGGGAUGGAUUACUGCUGCAUUAGAGUUGCUGCGUCGGCGACCUGCUGCUGAUGAUUUGGUCCGGUAUCCUUCGUGUUGGUGUUAAGCAGGGGCUCCUUUCGCCAGGUGAUUUGUCAGGAUGAUGGUUAGGAAAGCCAUGGCCGGCCAUCCACGUAUUGUUCAUGCAAAUAGAGAAGCUACACAUGAUUGUGCACAUUGGCGUCUUUCGCCGGAUCACAUGCUACUACGAUUUCAUCGUUGUCAGGCUUGCUAAUAGUCCUGCAGACACCAAUGGGCAAGUUCGUCAGAACUUGAAUGCUAUGCCUCAAUCACUGAAACUAAGAGGAUCCAUGGAACUGAAACGGAAUCCAGAUUCUGUUUGUGAUUUGCCUAUCCGGUUCCACAGGAAUUUAUGACACCAAAGACUUGCUUGGUUCAGAUUUGUACGGCUGACGAGGCUUCCCACGUUUUCCUUUUUCCCUCACAAUUUCGCCAAACCUACACAAUUUGAGUUCUUAGUCGUUGGAGCGACAGAAAGAGAGUCUUUACACAUAAUUGCUAGUAUGAUCGAUCCACUUUAGCCAUGGCAACAUGUUGCAAAGAGAUGCACAUUUUCCUUUCUAGAAGGACUGAACCUGCCCGUACUGUCUGCCUCAUUAGGGCAAGUGACCAAUCAUGCGCGCCAUUGAUGCAUAUAUGGUUCUCGAAGCAAGGCCCCGUAAAGGCAGCAGAGGCUACCAAGCCUACAACGGAGCGGCCACCCAAUCCACCCGCGAGCGCAUGUGGCUAAUCCUGGAUCACAUCACACUCACCUCCCUCGCCCAGAUCGUUUUAUGAGGACAGGUUCAGUGGAUCUGCGUGGUUCCGCCUGCGGCCCCCGGUCGAACACACUCCUGGCCCUUCUUGUCAACAAGAACAGUAGGAGGAGUAGAUGAGGAGACCACACACGUACAUAUGCUCAGUUUACCAGAUACUACAUACAACAUACAAAACUUACGUGAUGGUAACUAGCACCAUGUGGUAGGAAACAUUUGAAAGUCAUCGGUAAUCGGUUCAGGAAAGAUACCGUCACAGAUAACACUAGAUAAUCCAUUUUCUUGGUGGGAAAGUCAUCAAAAAACAGUCUUGAAAAUAGAUGCCCGUCAGUGAUAGAAUUUAUAACAUUAAAAGUUUUUAUAAUGGAAUCCGUCUAUGGUAACUUGCGGUCACUGAUGGCUGACACCUAGGCUUACACUGACGUGCCACUUGUGGCCCGUCGGUGAUGUUCAUAUGUGACCGGUGGCUCCUUCUGCCAUUAGUAAUGGGGGGGUCAGUGCUAUUCGGUUCUGUAGUAGUGAUAGAGCAACAAUUAAUCGAUUUGUAAUAUUAUGUAUUUUUUGUAAACUUGUGGGCAAUUCAUCCUUCUGAGACCAUGACCAACUACCGCUGCAUCCACGAUUACAUUGUCCAACCUUUGACCUAACCGACUCACGGGGUUACCAUGAUUAUUUAGGAUAAAACCAGACCAACGUAUUAGCGUUGUAUGGCUACAUCGUUGGCUUCCCCAAGAAUUUGGUUCCAGCUACCGUACAUACCUUGCUAUCACCGGAUUUCCGCAUAGCCUUCCGCUCUUCUCUGCUCUUUACCCCUCCUUGUACUGAUCUUCGGUCUCCCGGUUGCCGGUGAGACCUGGGAUCGAGGUAGAGACAGGAUGCAAAAUCAUAUCGUCAGUGUCAUCUUUUGCAUACAUGGGGUAGCAAUGCUACACCUUGUCCUGAAGGGACUACAUACUCACACAUCACGAUCAAAUCACAAGCACAUGACAUUGUAAAAAAACGUACUUGAAGAUUAAUGAUUGAUAGUUUUACAAUGUCACUAAUCAUGAUGGAAUUUUGAUUACUAGUAAAUGAUCUAAUGGAGAGGAGGUGGAUAUGGAGAUGUGAUGUUGAUGGCGUACGUGUGGAGGCUGCGAAAGGGAACCGCAUGUUGUUCUAACUUCUAGGGGCGAUAGAGAUUCCCCGGGGUCUUCCUUGUCCUUUUAUAUAGUGCAGAUGGGCGGAAUAGGGUUUUGGUUGUGAAUUUGGCUCGGAGCCCUUCCCACUAGUUGCUUGGGAUCACUUCACAGAGGUGGCUGCGUGUGGUAUGAGCGCUUGUAAUCAUAUUGCAUAGGGGCUUCUCUUCAGUUGGCUCUGGUGCGUGCCAAAUUAUAUGGAAAUGAUUAUCUCCUCAUGUACAUCUCAUAUAUGACUUGAUUUUCCUCCUAAAAACGUUCAUUUCUAGUAGGAACAAAAUAAACAAGGAGUCAGAUUUGUGUAUCUUUACAUUUAUUAGUCAUUAGAGGGCAAGUUGAAGUGAUAAUCACAGAAAAUAUCCGAGAAUAACUCGCUUAGACGCGGGUAAAAAUGCUUGUGAGUACCACUCAUCAAUAUGUAUGAAGUUGUGGAACCUAUAUGAUGCUCAAUGUUAUCCGGUAUCAUUUCUCAAAUAGGCUCAACAUUGUCCAUGAUAUGCCUGGAUAUUAGGUUUAACAUUCUUCUCUCGGACCAGAAAUGUGUUCAUCUUCUUUGAACAAGCUUACAAAUGCGUUGAAGACAUUGUUAUGAGUCGAUAACUGCAAAUAAUAAUCUAAUACCUUCAGUGGCGGGGCUAGCAUCGGAUCAUACCUAGGGCUAAGCUAGCUCAAGGGAUGCACUCUGGUCAUUUUCUAUAUUUCAUAAGAAGGAAAUGCAAAGGGCAAUAGCCCCAGCCGCCCUAGAUCUGUCUCCGCUAGUAACUACAUCGAGAUAGACAAAAUUAGACUAUAUCACCACACCAUGUUUCGGGGCCUCACCUAGCAAUAUGUAUAUGAAGACAUUGUUACAUGAUUAAACUACAUCAACUAAUCUAAUAAGUAGAACUAACUCCAUCAACAUGUGGAAGAUGGCAAAUAGAGAAUUUCCAAAUAACUGCAUUAAUUGAAGUACUCUAUGAUUGCACAGUACAUGUGAUUCUAUAAUGGCAAAUUAUUAUUGGUAACCAACGAGGUUGGGAAAAAGUUGAAUUACUUUUUAAAAAAUUGAAUUGCACUCAGGUAAGAUGUAUUUUCCAAAUUUUAAUCCCUCAUUACAAAGAAAAAAUGGAUAAAAUCUAAUUAUGCACCAGACUUUCUCACUGGUUAUCUUUUUUGGCCGGCCUAGAGAGAGGAGGAAACAAGUAGGAGCGACAAGCGGCGGCUAUGUUGCUUUCUAGAGUAGCAUCGAAGUUCUAAGAUAGGGAAGAGGCCGGAAAUGAAUGGUGCACAGGAUCAGCGUGAUGCUAUUAUGGCCUUCUGAUUCAUUCUUUAUGUUGGGAGGGGAAAUAUUUGGUAUACCCAUCCUUGGGGUACUCCCGGUGCUCCAAGUUCAAAAACAAAUCUUAAAUGUUUCCAAUUUUUUUGAAAAAAUGGGAAUGUUCGCUAGGAAUGUGACUACAACCCCUAGAAAUUUCAGGUCCAAACUCGAAAUGCACAUUGAGAAAAAAAAUGUGAAAUCCAGAUGUAAAUAGCGUCAAUAUUGAUUUUAUCUUUUUCUUACACUAUUCAUGCCAAAUUUCACAUUUUUGUUUCUUGAUGUACAUUUCAAGUUUUGACCAGAAAUUUUUACGGGUUGUAGUUACAUUCCUUGUGAACAUUCACCUUUUUUCAGAAUUUUUUGAAAUAUUUCUGAAUGUUUUUUUUAAACUUGGAGCACCGGGUGUACCCCAAGGAUGGGAGUACCUGAUACUUUCCCUAUGUUGGGAUUUCAUGUAAUCAAGGGAUUUAUAAUGAAGUUUAGUGUCUUCUUCUUGGAUGUUUUGAUAAUUGUGACAUAGUGCUGGUUUGAUCAACAGGAUAGUUGGUUUUAGCCUGGGGCUUGAGUGAUCAGCUCCUCGACAUUCCUCUUGUUUUUUCUUGCUUCAAUCAAACCGAGGGCCAAAAGCUCCUUAAUUAAGAAAAAGACUGCUAGUUCGAUAGCAAAAGAUACUGCUAUUUCACAUAUGCACUGGGGAUAAGUGAACCGUGACCCCUGUGUCGUCCUCUUGGCGACUAUAGGGGCGAUGCCCUAGCACUGCAACUUCCCCCACCAUACCUCCCUUGUCUCAUCGCCGCUUGAGGCUCUGGGCGGCGAACUUCACAUGUGUCCCGGGAUGGCGGUAGUGGGGUACCUCUCUGGUUUGCGCGAGGUGGAAGGACUAGAUGGCUCUUGUCGACAUGGGUGGUGGAAAUUCGGUGAUGCACGGUGGUGCUGUGAGGGUGGAGGGCCGAUGGCAUCUCGCACCACCAGUGUUCAGAGCUAUCCUCCCCCGCUAUGGUGUAUGCUUGGUGGUGGCGCGUAGAGCAUAUGGUGGGGGUGUAGCGGCGUAGCCUUUCAUGGACCAAAUCUAGGUCCGACCAGGACAUCAUGGCUCCUUUGGCGCCGUGGGGACACUGCUUCAUCGGCAUGAGACUCUGGAGGUGAAGGGUGGAGGAGGAUUGUUGGGGAACGCAGUAAUUUCAAAAAAUCCUACGCACACGCAAGAUCAUGGUGAUGCAUAGCAACAAGAGGGGAGAGUGUAGUCCACGUACCCUCGUAGACCGAAAGCGGAAGCGUUAUGAAAACGCAUUUGAUGUAGUCGUACGUCUUCAGGAUCCGACCGAUCCUAGUACCGAAAGUACGGCACCUCCGUGAUCUGCACACGUUCGACUCGGUGACGUCCCACGAACUCUUGAUCUAGCUGAGUGUCAGGGGAGAGCUUCGUCAGCAUGACAGCGUAAUGACAGUGAUGAUGAAGCUACCGGCGCAGGGCUUUGCCUAAGCACUGCAACGAUAUGACCGAGGUGGAUUAUGGUGGAGGGGGCACCGCACACGGCUAAGAGAUCAAUGAUCAACUUGUGUGUUCUAGGGUGCCCCUGCCCCCGUAUAUAAAGGAGCAAGGGGGGAGGCCGGCCGGCCCUAGGGCGCGCCAAGGAGGGGAGGAGUCCUCCUCCUAGUAGGAGUAGGACUCCCCUUUUCCUAGUCCAACUAGGAGGGGGGAGGGGGAAGGAACGAAAGGGAGAGAGGGAGGGAAAGAGGGGGAGCCGCCCCCUCCUUGUCCAAUUCGGACUCCUCAAGGGGGGCGCGCAACCAGCCCUAAGGCCCCAUCCUCUCUCUCACACACAAGGCCCAUGUUGGCCCAUUAGUUUCCCCGGGGCUCCGAUAACCCCCCGGCACACCGAUAAUUAUCCGGUGACCCCCGGAACUCACCCGGUGUCCGAAUAUAGUCAUCCAAUAUAUCAAUCUUUAUGUCUCGACCGUUUCAAGACUCCUCGUCAUGUCCGUGAUCACAUCCGGGACUCCGAACUAUCUUCGGUACAUCAAAACACAUAAACUCAUAAUACCGAUCGUCACCGAACGUUAAGCGUGCGGACCCUACGGGUUCAAGAACUAUGUAGACAUGACCGAGACUCAUCUCCGGUCAAUAACCAAUAGCGGAACCUGGAUGUUCAUAUUGGCUCCCACAUAUUCUACGAAGAUCUUUAUCGGGGAAACCGCAUAACAACAUACAUUGUUCCCCUUGUCAUCGGUAUGUUACUUGCCUGAGAUUCUAUCGUCGGUAUCUCAAUACCUAGUUCAAUCUCGUUACCGGCAAGUCUCUUUACUCAUUCCAUAAUGCAUCAUCCCGCAACUAACUCAUUAGUCACAUUGUCUGCAAGGCUUAUAGUGAUGUGCAUUACCGAGAGGGCCCAGAGAUACCUCUCCGACAAUCGGAGUAACAAGUCCUACUCUCGAUCUAUGCCAACUCAACAAGUACCAUCGGAGACACCUGUAGAUCACCUUUAUAAUCACCCAGUUACGUUGUGACGUUUGGUAGCACACAAAGUAUUCCUCCAGUAUUAGGGAGUUGCAUAAUCUCAAAGUCAUAGGAACAUGUAUAAGUCAUGAAGAAAGCAAUAGCAGCAUACUAAAUGAUCAAGUGCUAAGCUAACGGAAUGGGUCAAGUCAAUCACAUCAUUCUCUAAUGAUGUGAUCCCGUUAAUCAAAUGACAACUCAUGUCUAUGGCUAGGAAACCUAACCAUCUUUGAUUCAACGAGCUAGUCAAGUAGAGGCAUACUAGUGACACGCUGUUUGUCUAUGUAUUCACACAUGUACUAAGUUUCCGGUUAAUACAAUUCUAGCAUGAAUAAUAAACAUUUAUCAUGAUAUAAGGAAAUAUAAAUAACAACUUUAUUAUUGCCUCUAGGGCAUAUUUCCUUCAGUCUCCCACUUGCACUAGAGUCAAUAAUCUAGAUUACACAGUAAUGAUUCUAACACCCAUGGAUCUUGGUGCUAAUCAUGUUUUGCUCGUGAGAGAGGCUUAGUCAACGGGUCUGCAACAUUCAGAUCCGUAUGCAUCUUGCAAAUCUCUAUGUCUCCCUCCUUGACUUGAUCGUGGAUGGAAUUGAAACAUCUCUUGAUGUGCUUGGUUCUCUUGUGAAAUCUGGAUUCCUUUGCCAAGGAAAUUGCACCAGUAUUGUCACAAAAGAUUUUCAUUGGACCCGAUGCACUAGGUAUGACACCUAGAUCGGAUAUGAGCUCCUUCAUUCAGACUCCUUCAUUUGCUGCUUCCGAAGCAGCUAUGUACUCCGCUUCACACGUAGAUCCCGCCACGACGCUUUGUUUAGAACUGCACCAACUGACAGCUCCACCGUUCAAUAUAAAUACGUAUCCGGCUUGUGACUUAGAGUCAUCGGGAUCAGUGUCAAAGCUUGCAUCGGCGUAACCAUUUACGACGAGCUCUUUGUCACCUCCAUAAACGAGAAACAUAUCCUUAGUCCUUUUCAGGUAUUUCAGGAUGUUCUUGACCGCUGUCUAGUGAUCCACUCCUGGAUUACUUUGGUACCUCCCUGCUAAACUAAUAGCAAGGCACAGAUCAGGUCUGAUACAUAGCAUUGCAUACAUGAUAGAGCCUAUGGCUGAAGCAUAGGGAACAACUUUCAUUUUCUCUCUAUCUUCUGCAGUGGUCGGGCAUUGAGUCUGACUCAACUUCACACCUUGUAACACAUGCAAGAACCCUUUCUUUGCUUGAUCCAUUUUGAACUUCUUCAAAACUUUAUCAUGGUAUGUGCUUUGUCAAAGUCCAAUUAAGCAUCUCGAUCUAUCUCUAUAGAUCUUGAUGCCAAUAUACAAGCAGCUUCACCGAGGUCUUUCAUUGAAAAACUCUUGUUCAAGUAUCCUUUUAUGCUAUCCAGAAAUUCUAUAUCAUUUCCAAUCAACAAUAUGUCAUUCACUAAUAUUAGAAACGCUACAGAGCUCCCACUCACUUUCUUGUAAAUACAGGCUUCUCCAAAAGUCUGUAUAAAACCAUAUGCUUUGAUCACACUAUCAAAACGUUUAUUCCAACUCCGAGAUGCUUGCACCAGUCCAUAAAUGGAUCGCUGGAGCUUGCACACUUUGUUAGCAUCCUUUGGAUCGAUAAAACCUUCAGGUUGCAUCAUAUACAACUCUUCUUCCAGAAAUCCAUUCAGGAAUGCAGUCUUUACAUCCAUUUCCAAAUUUCAUAAUCAUAAAAUGCAGAAAUUGCUAACAUGAUUCGGACGGACUUAAGCAUCGGUACAGGUGAGAAUGUCUCAUCGUAGCACUACUAGGAAAAGGCCUGCUAGUGGCGCACCUGUUUUGCCUACUAAUGGCGCACUACAGGUGCGCCACUAGCAUCACGCCAUUAGAAUUUUUUACUAAUGGCGCACCAGGUAGUGCGCCAUUAGUACAUCACACGGUGCGCCAUUACUAUCUGACUUAGUAAUGGCGCACCACAUAGAAGUGCGCCAUUACUAACAUUUUUUUUCAAAAAAAAUUCAGAAAUAUUUUUUUCAAUUUUUUUUUUCUUAAUCUCGGGUCACCAUGGCUUGAUCUCAGGUCAAUAUGCUUAAUCUCAAGUCAAAUCGCACUCCGUGGUCAAACUUCCCAAAAGGUUUUCAGCCCAAGCACGCUUAACUUCAGAGUUCUAUCCAACCCCAGCACCAGCUCACUUAACAUGCACUUGUUGAUAUAUCUAGCAUAUCAAUCUUAUUAAACCUUGUUGAUGUCUAGGACUUUGUUCAUGUUCAUGAGUGUGAUGAAAUUUUGAAAAAAUAUUUCAAACUUCCCGGUCAUAUUACGUAUCAUAUUUUGAAAAAAAAAUUAAAAAAAAGUUUUUUUGAAACCAAUUUUUUUCUGUUACUAGUGGCGCACCUAGCAAAUGGUGUGCCACUAGUAAGUUUGAAUUUUUUCCAUUUCCCCCUCUAGAUCUUAAAAGCCCCGUAUCUUUCGGUCUGUUAGGUUUUUGGGGAUUUUGAAGAUGUUGAACGGGGUUCCCCCGGUUCAAUUCGUAUGUAACUUUUCGAGUAGAUGAUUUUUCAUAUAAAAAACUUUUUAAUCCGAGUUCGUAUGCAAAAGUUAUGCCCAUUUUACAAAUUCCAGAGAGAUUUUGUAAAUAAAGUCGAAAUUCAUAUUUGUAAAUUUUCCCAACAACUAGACCACAUAUCACAUGGGAAACUUAUUUUAUUUUAUUUUUUUUGACAUUUCCAUCAUUUUCUUUCAUUUUUUCUAAAACUGAAAAGGAGGUCCACAAGGGGGGUGCAUUCGGUGGAAUUUUUGGGCAAAGUUAGUAAUGGCGCNNNNNNNNNNNNNNNNNNNNNNNNNNNNNNNNNNNNNNNNNNNNNNNNNNNNNNNNNNNNNNNNNNNNNNNNNNNNNNNNNNNNNNNNNNNNNNNNNNNNNNNNNNNNNNNNNNNNNNNNNNNNNNNNNNNNNNNNNNNNNNNNNNNNNNNNNNNNNNNNNNNNNNNNNNNNNNNNNNNNNNNNNNNNNNNNNNNNNNNNNNNNNNNNNNNNNNNNNNNNNNNNNNNNNNNNNNNNNNNNNNNNNNNNNNNNNNNNNNNNNNNNNNNNNNNNNNNNNNNNNNNNNNNNNNNNNNNNNNNNNNNNNNNNNNNNNNNNNNNNNNNNNNNNNNNNNNNNNNNNNNNNNNNNNNNNNNNNNNNNNNNNNNNNNNNNNNNNNNNNNACUAACUUUGAAAAAAAAUAAAAAAAAAUUGUUAGUAGUGGCGCACCGAUGGUGUGGUGCGACGCACUGUCCCUGGUGCGCCAUUACUAGUUUUGACAAAUAAAUAAAUAAAAAUUGUUAGUAGUGCCGCACUGAGGGUGUGGUGCGCCAUUACUAGUUAAACUAGUAAUGGCACACUAUCCCCUGGUGCGCCAUUACUAUUUUUGAAAAAAAAUAAAAAAAUUUGUUAGUAGUGGCGCACCGUGGAUGUGGUGCGCCAUUAGUAUUUGGACACUAAUGGCGUACCAACACAUGGUGCGCCAUUAGUAUAUAGUAGUGGCGCACCACAUGUGUGGUGCGCCAUUAGUGCCAAUAUUAUCUAUAGCCCUUUUCCUGGUAGUGUAGUCAACUCCUUGAACUUGUCGAAAACCUUUUGCAACAAGUCAAGCUUUGUAGACAGUAACAUUACCGUCAGCGUCAGUCUUCUUCUUGAAGAUCCAUUUAUUCUCGAUGGCUUGCCGAUCAUCGGGCAAGUCAACCAAAGUCCACACUUUGUUCUCAUACAUGGAUCCCAUCUCAGAUUUCAUGGCCUCAAGCCAUUUCGCGGAAUCUGGGCUCAUCAUCGCUUCCUCAUAGUUCGUAGGUUCGUCAUGGUCAAGUAACAUGACCUCCAGAACAGGAUUACCGUACCACUCUGGUGCGGAUCUUACUCUGGUUGACCUACGAGGUUCAGUAGUAACUUGAUCUGAAGUUACAUGAUCAUCAUCAUUAGCUUCCUCACUAAUUGGUGUAGGAGUCACAGGAACAGAUUUCUGUGAUGAACUACUUUCCAAUAAGGGAGCAGGUACAGUUACCUCAUCAAGUUCUACUUUCCUCCCACUCACUUCUUUCGAGAGAAACUCCUUCUCUAGAAAGGAUCCAUUCUUAGCAACAAAUGUCUUGCCUUCGGAUCUGUAAUAGAAGGUGUACCCAACAGUCUCCUUUGGGUAUCCUAUGAAGACACAUUUCUCCGAUUUGGGUUCGAGCUUAUCAGGUUGAAGCUUUUUCACAUAAGCAUCGCAACCCCAAACUUUAAGAAACGACAACUUGGGUUUCUUGCUAAACCACAGUUCAUAAGGUGUCGUCUCAACGGAUUUAGAUGGUGCCCUAUUUAACGUGAAUGCAGCCGUCUCUAAAGCAUAACCCCAAAACAAUAGCGGUAAAUCAGUAAGAGACAUCAUAGAUCGCACCAUAUCUAGUAAAGUACGAUUACGACGUUAGGACACACCAUUACGCUAUGGUGUUCCGGGUGGCGUGAGUUGCGAAAUUAUUCCGCAUUGUUUCAAAUGAAGACCAAACUCGUAACUCAAAUAUUCUCCUCCACGAUCAGAUCAUAGAAACUUUAUUUUCUUGUUACGAUGAUUUUCCACUUUACUCUGAAAUUCUUUGAACUUUUCAAAUGUUUCAGACUUAUGCUUCAUCAAGUAGAUAUACCCAUAUUUGCUCAAAUCAUCUGUGAAGGUGAGAAAAUAACGAUACCCACCGCGAGCCUCAACAUUCAUCGGACCACAUACAUCAGUAUGUAUGAUUUCGAACAAAUCUGUUGCUCGCUCCAUUGUUCCGGAGAACGACGUUUUAGUCAUCUUGCCCAUGAGGUAUGGUUCGCAAGUACCAAGUGAUUCAUAAUGAAGUGAUUCCAAAAGUCCAUCAGAAUGGAGUUUCUUCAUGCGCUUUAUACCAAUAUGACCUAAACGGCAGUGCCACAGAUAUGUUGCACUAUCAUUAUCAACUCUGCAUCUUUUGGCUUCAAUAUUAUGAAUAUGUGUGUCACUACUAUCGAGAUUCAACAAAAAUAGACCACUCUUCAAGGGUGCAUGACCAUAAAAGAUAUUACUCAUAUAAAUAGAACAACCAUUAUUUUCUAAUUUAAAUGAAUAACCGUCUCUCAUCAAACAAGAUCCAGAUAUAAUAUUCAUGCUUAACGCAGGCACCAAAUAACAAUUAUUCAGGUCUAAAACCAAUCCCGAAGGUAGAUGUAGAGGUAGCGUGCCGACUGCGAUCACAUCGACUUUGGAACCAUUUCCCACCCGCAUCGUCACCUCAUCCUUAGCCAAUCUUCGCUUAAUCCGUAGUCCCUGUUCCGAGUUGCAAAUAUUAGCAACAAAACCAGUAUCAAAUACCCAGGCACUACUGCGAGCAUUAGUAAGGUACACAUCAAUAACAUGUAUAUCACAUAUACCUUUGUUCACCUUGCCAUCCUUCUUAUCCGCCAAAUACUUGGGGCAGUUCCGCUUCCUGUGACCAGUCCCUUUGUAGUAGAAGCACUCAGUCUCAGGCUUAGGUCCAGACUUGGGCUUCUUCACUUGAGCAGCAACUUGCUUGCUGUUCUUCUUGAAGUUCCCCUUCUUCCCUUUACCCUUUUUCUUGAAACUGGUGGUCUUGUUGACCAUCAACACUUGAUGCUCUUUCUUGAUUUCUACCUCCGCAGCCUUUAGCAUUGCGAAGAGCCCAGGAAUUGUCUUAUCCAUCCCUUGCAUAUUAUAGUUCAUCACGAAGCUCUUGUAGCUUGGUGGCAGUGACUGAAGAAUUCUGUCAAUGACACUAUUAUCAGGAAGAUUAACUCCCAGUUGAAUCAAGUGAUUGUUAUACCCAGACAUUUUGAGUAUAUGCUCACUGACAGAACUAUUCUCCUCCAUCUUGCAGCUGUAGAACUUAUAUAUUGGAGACUUCAUAUCUCUCAAUCCGGGCAUUUGCUUGAAAUAUUAACUUCAACUCCUGGAACAUCUCAUAUGCUCCAUGAUGUUCAAAACGUCGUUGAAGUCCCGGUUCUAAGCCGUAAAGCAUGUCACACUGAACUAUCGAGUAGUCAUCAGCUUUGCUCUGCCAGACGUUCAUAACAUCUGGCGUUGCUCCUGCAGCGGGUUUGGCACCUAGCGGUGCUUCCAGGACGUAAUUCGCAGUAAUGAGGAUAAUCCUCAAGUUACGGACCCAGUCCGUGUAGUUGCUACCAUCAUCUUUCAACUUAGCUUUCUCUAGGAACGCAUUAAAAUUCAACGGGACAACAGCACGGGCCAUCUAUCUACAACAACAUAGACAUGCAAAAUACUAUCAGGUACUAAGUUCAUGAUAAAUUAAAGUUCAAUUAAUCAUAUUACUUAAGGACUCACACUUAGAUAGACAUCCCUCUAAUCAUCUAAGUGAUCACGUGAUCCAUAUCAACUAAACCAUGUCCAAUCAUCACGUGAGAUGGAGUAGUUUUCAAUGGUGAACAUCACUAUGUUGAUCAUAUCUACUAUAUGAUUCACGCUCGACCUUUCAGUCUCAGUGUUCCGAGGCCAUAUCUGCAUAUGCCAGGCUCGUCAAGUUUAACCCGAGUAUUCUGCGUGUGCAAAACUGGCUUGCACCCGUUGUAUGUGAACCUAGAGCUUAUCACACCCGAUCAUCACGUGGUGUCUCGGCACGACGAACUUUCGCAACGGUGCAUACUCAGGGAGAACACUUGUACCUUGAAAUUUAGUGAGAGAUCAUCUUAUAAUGCUACCGUCGAACUAAGCAAAAUAAGAUGCAUAAAGUAUAAACAUCACAUGCAAUCAAUAUAAGUGAUAUGAUAUGGCCAUCAUCAUCUUGUGACUUUGAUCUCCAUCUCCAAAGCACCGUCAUGAUCACCAUCGUCACCGACUUGACACCUUGAUCUCCAUCGAAGCGUCGUUGUCGUCUCGCCAACUAUUGCUUCUACGACUAUCGCUACCGCUUAGUGAUAAUGUAAAGCAAUUACAUGGCGAUUGCAUUUCAUACAAUAAAGCGACAACCAUAUGGCUCCUGCCAGUUGCCUAUAACUUUGUUACAAAACAUGAUCAUCUCAUACAAUAAAAUUUAGCAUCAUGUCUUGACCAUAUCACAUCACAACAUGCCCUGCAAAAACAAGUUAGACGUCCUCUACUUUGUUGUUGCAAGUUUUACGUGGCUGCUACGGGCUGAGCAAGAACCGUUCUUACCUACGCAUCAAAACCACAACGAUUUUUCGUCAAGUAUGUGCUGUUUUAACCUUCAACAAGGACCGGGCGUAGCCACACUUGAUUCAACUAAAAUUGGAGAAACUGACACCCGCCAGCCACCUGUGUGCGAAGCACGUCGGUAGAACCAGUCUCGCAUAAGCGUACGCGUAAUGUCGGUCCGAGCCGCUUCAUCCAACAAUACCGCUGAAUCAAAGUAUGACAUGCUGGUAAGCAGUUGAUACGUCUCCAACGUAUCUAUAAUUUAUGAAGUAUUCAUGCUAUUAUAUUAUCCAUCUUGGAUGUUUAAUGGGCUUUACUAUGCACUUUUAUAUUAUUUUUGAGACUAACCUAUUAACCCAGAGCCCAGUGCCAGUUUCUGUUUUUUUCCUUGUUUCAGUGUUUCGCAGAAAAGGAAUAUCAAACGGAGUCCAAACAGAAUGAAACCUUCGGAAAAGUUAUUUUUGGAAUGGAAGCAAUCCAGGGGACUUGGAGUGCACGUCAGGGAAUCAACGAGGAGGGCAUGAGGCAGGGGGCGCGCCCACCCCCUGGGCGCGCCCUCCACCCUCGUGGGCCCCUCGUGGCUCUCCUGACGUAUUUCUUCCUCCUAUAUAUACCAAUAUACCCUAAAACCUUCGGGGAACAGAAGAGAUCGGGAGUUCUGCCGCCGCAAGCCUCUGUAGCCACCAAAAACCAAUCAGGACCCUGUUCCGGCACCCUGCCGGAAGGGGAAUCCCUCACCGGUGGCCAUCUUCAUCAUCCCGGCGCUCUCCAUGACGAGGAGGGAGUAGUUCACCCUCGGGGCUGAGGGUAUGUACCAGUAGCUAUGUGUUUGAUCUCUCUCUCUCUCUCGUGUUCUUGAGGUGAUACGAUCUUGAUGUAUCACGAGCUUUGCUAUUGUAGUUGGAUCUUAUGAUGUUUCUCCCCCUCUACUCUCUUGUAAUGGAUUGAGUUUUCCCUUUGAAUUUAUCUUAUCGGAUUGAGUCUUUAAUGAUUUGAGAACACUUGAUGUAUGUCUUGCGUGGGAUAACCAUGGUGACAAUGGGUUAUUCUAUUGAUUCACUUGAUGUAUGUUUUGGUGAUCAACUUGCGGGUUCCGCCCAUGAACCUAUGCAUAGGGGUUGGCACAUGUUUUCGUCUUGACUCUCCGGUAGAAACUUUGGGGCACUCUUUGAGGUUCUAUGUGUUGGUUGAAUAGAUGAAUCUGAGAUUGUGUGAUGCAUAUCGUAUAAUCAUACCCACGGAUACUUGAGGUGACAUUGGAGUAUCUAGGUGACAUUAGGGUUUUGGUUGAUGUGUGUCUUAAGGUGUUAUUUUACUACGAACUCUAGGGCUGUUUGUGACACUUAUAGGAAUAGCCCAAUGGAUUGAUCGGAAAGAAUAACUUUGAGGUGGUUUUGUACCCUGCCAUAAUCUCUUCGUUUGUUCUCCUCUAUUAGUGACUUUGGAGUGACUCUUUGUUGCAUGUUGAGGGAUAUUUAUAUGAUCCAAUUAUGUUAUUAUUGUUGAGAGAACUUGCACUAGUGAAAGUGUGAACCCUAGGCCUUGUUUCCUAGCAUUGCAAUACCGUUUGUGCUCACUUUUAUCAUUAGUUACCUUGCUGUUUUUAUAUUUGCAAAUUACAAAAACCUAUAUCUACCAUCCAUAUUGCACUUGUAUCACCAUCUCUUCGCCGAACUAGUGCACCUAUACAAUUUACCAUUGUAUUAGGUCUGUUGGGGACACAAGAGACUCUUUGUUAUUUGGUUGCAGGGUUGUUUGAGGGAGACCAUCUUCAACCUACGCCUCCCACGGAUUGAUAAACCUUAGGUCAUCCACUUGAGGGAAAUUUGCUACUGUCCUACAAACCUCUGCACUUGGAGGCCCAACAACGUCUACAAGAAGAAGGUUGUGUAGUAGACAUCAGCAGUAUGACUAUUAUCGCCCACAAGUCACUUGUGUUCUACUCGUGCAUAUAACAUCUACGCAUAGACCUAGCUCGGAUGCCACUGUUGGGGAACGCAGUAAUUUCAAAACAAUUCGUACGCACACGCAAGAUCAUGGUGAUGCAUAGCAACGAGGGGGAGAGUGUAGUCCAUGUACCCUCGUAGACCGAAAGCGGAAGCGUUAUGAAAAUGCGGUUGAUGUAGUCGUACGUCUUCACGAUCCAACCGAUCCUAGUACCGAAAGUACGGCACCUCCGCGAUCUGCACACGUUCGACUCGGUGACGUCCCACGAACUCUUGAUCCAGCUAAGUGUUGAGGGAGAGCUUCGUCAGCACGACGGCGUGAUGACGGUGAUGAUGAAGCUACCGGUGCAAGGCUUCGCCUAAGCACUCCAACGAUAUGACCGAGGUGGAUUAUGGUGGAGGGGGGCACUGCACACGGCUAAGAGAUCAAUGAUCAACUUGUGUGUUCUAGGGUGCCCUCCUACCCCCUAUAUAAAGGAGCGAGAGGGGAGGUCGGCCGGCCCUAGGGCGCGCUAAGGAGGGGAGGAGUCCUCCUCCUAGUAGGAGUAGGACUCCCCUUUUCCUAGUCCAACUAGGAGGGGGAAGGGGGAAGGAAGGAGAGGGAGAGAGGGAGGGAAAGAGGGGGCGCCGCCCCCCUCCUUGUCCAAUUCGGACUCCUCAAGGGGCGCGGCCAGCCGUAAGGGCCCCUCCCCUCUCUCUCUCACAAGGCCCAUGUUGGCCCAUUAGUUCCCCCGGGGGUUCCGAUAACCCCUCGGCACUCCGAUAAUUAUCCGGUGACCCCCGGAACUCAUCCGGAGUCAUCCAAUAUAUCAAUCUUUAUGUCUCGACCAUUUCGACACUCCUCGUCAUGUCCAUGAUCACAUCCGGGACUCUGAACUAUAUUCGGUACAUCAAAACACAUAAACUCAUAAUACCGAUCGUCACCGAACGUUAAGCGUGCGGACCCUACGGGUUCGAGAACUAUGUAGACAUGACCGAGACUCAUCUCCGGUCAAUAACCAAUAGCGGAACCUGGAUGUUCAUAUUGGCUAUUCUACGAAGAUCUUUAUCGGUCAAACCGCAUAACAACAUACGUUGUUCCCUUUGUCAUCGGUAUGUUACUUGCCUGAGAUUCGAUCGUCGGUAUCUCAAUACCUAGUUCAAUCUCGUUACCGGCAAGUCUCUUUACUCGUUCCAUAAUGCAUCAUCCCGCAACUAACUCAUUAGUCACAUUGCUUGCAAGGCUUAUAGUGAUGUACAUUACCGAGAGGGUCCAGAGAUACCUCUCCGACAAUCGGAGUGACAAAUCCUAAUCUUGAUCUAUGCCAACUCAACAAGUACCAUCGGAGACACCUAUAGAUCACCUUUAUAAUCACCCAGUUAUGUUGUGAUGUUUGGUAGCACAUAAAGUAUUCCUCCGGUAUUCGGGAGUUGCACAAUCUCAUAGUCAUAGGAACAUGUAUAAGUCAUGAAGAAAGCAAUAGCAACAUACUAAAUGAUCAAGUGCUAAGCUAACGGAAUGGGUCAAGUCAAUCACAUCAUUCUCUAAUUAUGUGAUCCCGUUAAUCAAAUGACAACUCAUGUCUAUGGCUAGGAAACUUAACCAUCUUUGAUUCAACGAGCUAGUCAAGUAGAGGCAUACUAGUGACACUCUGUUUGUCUAUGUAUUCACACAUGUACUAAGUUUCCGGUUAAUACAAUUCUAGCAUGAAUAAUAAACAUUUAUCAUGAUAUAAGGAAAUAUAAAUAACAACUUUAUUAUUGCCUCUAGGGCAUAUUUCCUUCACCCCUCUCGGCUUUUGGUAGAAUGGUGCUACUCUAUAGUGCAUGGGAUGGCUACCAUGGUUCUUCGUGUGCCCAACCUUGGUGCAUUAUGGCGUUGUUCUCGACUGUCCCUGCGCCUGCCGUCUUCUGCUUCAGAUGGCAUUGCGGGCUACCUUUGUUCCCAUGCAGGGUGUCGUUGGCGCAAUGUCAAAGGGCUUGAGCUUGUGUAGGUGGAGAUCGGUGGCCGUGCGACAUUGGUGGUGUUGGUGGUGCGGUGGCCUAGAUCGAUUCAUCUCUUCGUCUACACUUGUGCUUGUGGUGAGCGCCUACAUCAUUCGGACACCUCCCGUUGGACCCGGCAAGGACGCUCUCUGGGUUCCGAAAGGAGGGUGGUGAGGUCUCGCGCUCAUAUGCUUGCCAGAUUCGGCGGACAAUGCUACUAGUGAGUUGUGUUGGGAUUUCCUCGAAGAGGAGAGGAUGAUGCAGUAUAGUAGAGAUAAGUAUUUCCCUCAGUUAAGAACCAAGGUUAUCAAUCCAGUAGGAGAAACAUGCAACAUCUCGUUAGCAGUACCUACACACAAAAUAACAAAUACUUGCACCCAACGCGAACAAGGGGUUGUGAAUCCCUCAGUGGUUAAUUGCAAGGAUCAAAUCUCGUAGUUAUAGAUAGAUAAAUAAAACGCAAAGUAAAAUGAAGGAAAUAAAAUUACAGCAAGGUAUUUUUGGAUUUUAACAUAUGAUAAAAAUAGACCCGAGGGCCAUAGUUUUCACUAGAGGCUUCUCUCUUGAAAAUAGUAUACGAUGGGUAAACAAAUUACUAUUGGGCAAUUGAUAGAAAAGCGAAUAAUCAUGACGAUAUCCAAGGCAAUGAUCUUGUAUAUAGGCAUCACGUCCGAGACAAGUAGACCAACUCCUACCCGCAUCUACUACUAUUACUCCACACAUCGACCGCUAUCCAGCAUGCAUCUAGAGUAUUAAGUUCAUAAAGAACGUAGUAACACCUUAAGCAAGAUGACAUGAUAUAGACAAAGUAAACUCACUCAUGAAUAAACCCCAUUGUUUUAUCCUUAAUGGCAACAAUACAAAUACGUGUCUUGUCCCUUUCUGUCACUGGGAUAUAGAUCACCGCAAGAUUGAACCCAUCACAAAGCACCUCUCCCAUUGCAAGAAAAAUCAAUCUAGUUGGCCUAACCAAAUCAAUAUCGAAGAGAAAUACAAAGCUAUAAUAAUCAUGCAUAAAAGAGUUCAGAGAAGACUCAAAUAAUAUCCAUGGAUAAUUUGAUCACAAGCUCAAAAUUCAUCGGAUCCCAACAAACACACCGCUAAAAAUGAUUACAUCGAAUAGAUCUUCAAGAACAUCAAGCAGAACAUUGUAUUGAAGAUCAAAGAGAGGGAAGAAGCCAUCUAGGUACUAGCUAUGGACCCGUAGGUUUGUGGCAAACUACUCACACAUCAUCGGAAGGGCAGCAAGGUUGAUGUAGAGCCCCUCCGUAGUCGAUUCCCCCUCUGGUAGAGUACCAGAGAAGACCUCCAGAUGGGAUCUCUCGAGAACAGAAACUUGCGGCGGCGGAAAAAGUAUUUCGGGUGGCUCUCUCUUGUCAAGGGAAUAUUUGGGAAUUUAUAGAGACAUAAUUAGGUCAAGAGGUGCCACGAGGGGCCCACAAGCCUGGGGGCGCCCCAAGCCUUGGGGCACGCUUCCUGAGCUUGUUGUUCCCUCGUGGCUCGUCAGGUCUUCUCCUGAACCUUCUAGGGUCUUUUCUGGUUCAGAAAAAAUUAAUCCAAUUUUUUUUCUCCGUUUGGACUCUGUUUGAUAUUGAUUUCCUGAAAAGCCAACAACAAGCAAAAAAACAACAACUAGCACUAGACACUAGGUUAAUAGGUUAGUCGUAAAAAAUGAUAUAUAAUUGCAUAAUAAACAUCCAAGAUUGAUAUUAUAAUAGCAUGGAACAAUAAAAAAUUAUAGAUACGUUGGAGACAUACCAGACAACAUGUGACAGAUUGGUCUAGGAUACGGUGCUUCAGGCAAAAACUUGUGAUGACUUUGUCUGCAAUGAUGACGAAAACAACUCCAGGCGCCCCUUCCCUUCUUGAAGGAGCCAUUAUGAAUCUUCUAUAACUCGUGCAGUGGUCUGCCCUAGGCGAAAGCCUUAGAUCCAUCUCUGGAUCGGACAACAACAACGUCUGCGAUGUUGUUUCACCGUUGAGGGCAUAGUCUUGGAGCCAUGAAUCAGCUAUUGGUUGCAUGGUGUCUCGGUUGGAGUGCAGUUGGUUUGUUGGGAAGUCUCGUGGUGGCGAUGGAAGUGUUCUAUGGCGACGGUCAUUGCUUUGGCCAUCCUAGUGUUGUCAGUCGACCUAUCUCUUGGGUGGUCAUGGCGGCGGUGAGGUCUCUGAGUUUGGUGCCCUUCGAAGAUACCUAAGGUUUUGGUGCUUCGCAUAGCAUUUUGGUUCUCUGUAUUUUUUAUGGUGGUCGUGGCGCCGCCCAGAGGAGGUUUAAGGUUGUCUCGUGGAACAUUGCCCUUAAGCAUGGUUUGCGGCCCUCUUUGUCACGAUGUGACUAGGCGGAGGGAAGCCCUUUGGCAGUGGCUGCAACUCUCCUAGUUCCUUCUGCGGAGUGAUCACAGGGCAGCUGGCGACUUCUUCUCUAUGUUUUCUCUGUGGCAAUUCUCACUUUGACUGAUCCAACAAAAUCAGGCCCUGCUCUUCUCGCUCCAUGUAGUGGUGACGGGUGCUAAGUUUUUGGUGUUGGCUGCUUGUUGCAGCUUGCUUUUGGUUCUUCUUUUGUUAUUCUCUGUUCCUUCUUGAGUGUGUCGGGUGCUAUCUGUUGUACCCACUGUGUUGUAUCUCACUCUUAUUUAUAAUAAAAAUGGUUCAUGUAAAUGUAAGUUCGCCACAGCAUCGUAAAAAAAACAUUCGUAUUUCACUCAAUAAGUGGGGGUCUGAAAAAGCCAACCCACUGAAUUCCACCCACACGCAAUAGCGACACUUUGAGAGGGAGAUGGAGACCGUAGGUUAUCUAAAUUCAAACCGGCCAUUUUAUCCUUCCCAAAAGGCAGAGGAUCCGAUCCAAUCGCGACGUGGGCCGGCGGGAAAUUACUGGCAGCCGUGUUAUCGCCACCAGCGUUGAGCAUCAGAGGCAGGAGCUGCUGGCGCCGUGGCGUCACACUUCUGCAUGGCGACGCCCAUAUGCAUGCCGCCACGUUGUCUCUCGAGCAGUCAGCGUCAGCUCGUAUCUUUCUCCGAUUCGCGCUGCUCGUCGUGAAAGUUACGGACAAACAAACCCUACAAAAAUGUGCAUGCUUGCGUGCGUCGAUGUGAUCCUCAUCUUCUUUUCCCCGUGUAGAAAAACAUAGACAGCUUUGUUUGGCCAGUUGGCUCGGCUUUGCACAUAUGCGUGCAUGGGAAAUGGGGUAGUUCUGAUCUUCGUUGGGCAGGACAAAUAUACCGAACAACUUUUCAUUCGGUGCGUCUGUUUGUUUAAUCAGUUAUAGGUUAAUCUCAUUGGUAAUGGACAACGAUAAUUCGAUAUUGUUUUUAUUUUGUCUUAAAGCUAGCAUGCAUGCAAAAGCUUUAUGUAUUUUAUACAUACACUGUUCUAGUUCUGCUAAUGAUGUAUGGAUGCAACAGGUUGCCACAACCAGCUGGAUAUGUGAAUAUCUGUAGAGUACCUUAUAUGUUAGUGUUCUCUUUAGCUUCAAGAAAAAACAGGGGGCCGAGCCCUCACAGGAGAGCUUUUUUCUGCGAGAAGAAAAGAGAGCCUUGCUUAACCAAACAUUAAUUAAGGUGCAGGGGUUGGUGGCUUUGUUAGGUCCGAUAUAUCUUUGUACCUUUGUUAAGGUGUAUGAGCUGUUUUUCUUUGAAGAAUUAGCUUUUUCAAAGAAGGGUUUUGGACAAAAGCAAAUAAUGCCGGGUAGAUGAAAAAUAUAGCAGCAGACCUAAAAUAAAUAUAGAAGGGCUCCGAAAAUUACCGGGAGCCACCNNNNNNNNNNNNNNNNNNNNNNNNNNNNNNNNNNNNNNNNNNNNNNNNNNNNNNNNNNNNNNNNNNNNNNNNNNNNNNNNNNNNNNNNNNNNNNNNNNNNNNNNNNNNNNNNNNNNNNNNNNNNNNNNNNNNNNNNNNNNNNNNNNNNNNNNNNNNNNNNNNNNNNNNNNNNNNNNNNNNNNNNNNNNNNNNNNNNNNNNNNNNNNNNNNNNNNNNNNNNNNNNNNNNNNNNNNNNNNNNNNNNNNNNNNNNNNNNNNNNNNNNNNNNNNNNNNNNNNNNNNNNNNNNNNNNNNNNNNNNNNNNNNNNNNNNNNNNNNNNNNNNAUCGUAGGCCGGCGCGCUAAGGGAGGGAGACCCCCUCCCCAAGUCGGCCUCCCCUCCCCGCACACCUAUAUAUACAUGAGCGGGCGCCCCCUAGAGACACACAAGUCCCUUUGAUUCUGGGCGCCCUCUCACUAGUUUCUCUAGAUCCAAAUAAUAGAGAAGCCUGAAAGCACAAGUGCUCCCUGGAUGGUUUUGGUAAUUAAUGUUAACAUAUCUCUUGUUGGACUAAUGUUUUCAUCUAGUAUAUUUCAGACAAGUUCAACAGAUGGAGUGGCGUGGACAAAAGGAUGUGGAACCCCUUCAAGAUGCUAAGGACAAAGGAUUGGCUCAAGCUCAAAAGCUCAAGACUCUAAAUUUUACUUUUAUUGAUCCAAGAUCACAUUGAGUCCAUAGGAAAGCCAAUACUAUUAAAAGGGGAUGAGGUGUUGCUUAAUGGGUUACUUGCUCAAAAUGCUUAGUGAUAUGCUCCAAAAACCCUCAACCACUUUCUCAUACCCACAUAUGUCCCAAACCAAAAGUCAAACUCGGCCCCACCGAAACUUUCUAUCCGGCGCCACUGAGUUCAGCUGACAUAGCCACUGCUACAAACCCUAAUCAAUUCGGUCUCACCGAUGGGAUCCCGGUCUCACCGAGAUGGGCGUGCAAACUCACUGAUUCCUGUUGCAUUAAAUUCGGUCUUAUCGAGUUUUGUAAUCAGUCCCACCGAGUUUGCCUGACCAACUCUCUGGUUAGCUUGUUACCAAAAUCGGUCCCACCGAGUUUGUGUAAUCGGUCAAACCGAGAUGAGGUUUUACCCUAACCCUAGCACAUCGGUCCCACCGAGUUGAUCAUAUCGGUCCCACCGAAAUGCCUAACGUUCACAUUUUGAACUAAAUCGGUCCGACCGAGUUUCAUUAUUCGGUCCCACCGAGUUUGGUGAUUUGUGUGUAAUGGUUAGAUUUUGUAUGGAGGCUAUAUAUACCCCUCCACCCACUCUUCAUUCGUGAGGAGAGCCAUCAGAACAUGCCUACACUUCCAGCAUACAUUUUCUAAGAGAGAACCACCUACUCAUGUGUCGAGGUCAAGAUAUUCCAUUCCAACCACAUAAAUCUUGAUCUCUAGCCUUCUCCAACUUGCUUUCCACUCAAAUCAUCUUUCCACCAAAUCCAAAUCUGUGAGAGAGAGUUGAGUGUUGGGAAGACUAUCAUUUGAAGCACAAGAGCAAGGAGUUCAUCAUCAACACACCAUCUAUUACCUUUUGGAGAGUGGUGUCUUCUAGAUUGGUUAGGUGUCAUUUGGGAGCCUCCGUCAAGAUUGUGGAGUUGAACCAAGGAGUUUGUACGGGCAAGGAGACCGCCUACUUCGUGAAGAUCUACCCUAGUGAGGCAAGUCCUUCGUGGGCGAUGGCCAUGGUGGGAUAGACAAGGUUGCUUCUUCGUGGACCCUUCGUGGGUGAAGCCCUCCGUGGACUCGCGCAACCGUUACCCUUCUGGGUUGAAGUCUCCAUCAACGUGGAUGUACGAUAACACCACCUAUCGGAACCACGCCAAAAAUCUCCGUGUCUCCAAUUGCGUUUGCACACUCCAAUCCCAUCCCUUUACAUUCUUGCAAAUUGCAUGCUUUACUUUCCGCUGCUCAUAUACUCUUGUCAUGCUUGCUUGAUAUGCAUUGUGAAUGUUUAAAAUUGUGUUAAAACUCCACCUCAACUCAAAGAAAUUAAAAACUGCAACUUUUCUUGCUUAGAGUCUAUUCACCUCCCCUCUAGACACCUCUUCUCGAUCCUUCCAAAGCCCCGUGAGGUACUCUUCUCUUCCUUCUAGUUCUCCGGCAAUUCAAAGCUCUGGAAGGCGAUGUGCUAUCAGAUCGUCAAGCCUGUAUGCCUACAAUUCAUAGAGAUUGUGCUUUCGAUCUUUUGUUCGAGGGACCAUUCGUGGGACAGUUCAAGGGAUUCAAGAAUGAUCUACACAAAUUCUUCUUCCGCUGCAACUCGAAUUUGGUAAAAAUCUGAUCUAACCUUUGUAUGCAUCUUCAUAGUGAUUCUGCAAUCUUGACCAUAGGCCGUUUUUUGUUUUGUUUUCUUCCGUGUUCAAAACUGCUCUUUAACCAUGGCGAAUUUGAAAAAAUGUUCAACACGAAAAAGGUGCUCCUUUUCAAUAGCUUUCCAACAGUGUACCAUUUUCGUAAUUCCAAUGUAUAAUUGAGGAGUUAGAGCCAGAAGCUGCACGGAGAAAAGAGUGGGAUUCAGUCAGAAAAGCCUCAAAGUUCAAAUUCUAUAGAGAGUGCAUUUCGAACACUCUAUUUUCGUGACUAAGGCAACACAUAUGAUCGUAUCAUUUUUUAAAUGUUCUUGUAAAUAGAUAGGAAUUUGAGGCUUUCUACAUGAAAAUGUUUCGUGUAUUUAUAGCUUUCCAAUGUUUAUCAUUUGCCCCAUUCAGAAAAAGGUUUUAAACUUUUUUCCUUCAAAACGAAUUCCACCAUAUUCAAAACAACUAAAUUCAAAUCAUAAAGAAUUUUGGAAAUAGUUAUGUACCAAAAAUCCAACAGCAUAUCAUUUGCUACAUUCCGACAACCCUUUAAAAAUUAACCCAAAAACAUGAUUUCGCUCAAAUUUCUGCCAUUUUCAAAUUACUUUUAAACCUUUUGGCAUUGGCAACAACUUUGUAUAUGAAAAAAGAUCACAUUUGCAACAGCUUUCUAAUGCCAUAUCAUUUGUGUCAUUCCAACAAACAGUUGGAAAAGAGGUAAAAAAAAUAAUAUCUCAUUCGUUCUAUAAAAUAAUUCCAUCAUUUUUAAAAUUACUCUUAAACUGUAUGGUGUUUGAGCAACGUUUCUAAAUGAAAGAUGAGCGCAUCUACAAAAGACUGCCAACGCCAUAUCGUAUUCCUCAAUCCGACAAAGCUUUUGAAAAUUAAGUCAAAAUAUGAUUCAUAUUCUUUUAUAUGAGAAAAUGUCGUUUUCGAAACUGCUCUUAAUCUUUGAUGAUUUUAAGAAAUGUUCUACAUGGAUAAUGAUCGCUUUGUCCACAACUUACCAAUAGUAUAUUACAAGUACGCGAAAGUUCAAACUGUGCAGAGGAUGGAGACGACGGGUAUUUUGCAACCGGUUGCAGACUAUAUAAUUAUAUAUACCAUGACUGAGUUGUACAUAUGUAUGUGUACACACGAAUCUCCGCCUAAGUUAACAAGCUUCAACGUUUUAGUGCUUAAAUAUAUGUACGAACCAACAAAAUGUAUAAUUAGGAAACGUAUAUCGUUGAAAAUGCAAAGAAGAUGCCCGCAAAAAAAUUGCAAAGAAGAUAACUCGUGAACAAGGAGACAUCGUUGUCAGAACAGGUGCUGAGGACGAUGUCUUGUUUCCUCCGCUGAAGUGUACAUAUACAUCUAAGGAAGUACUAUAAGAUUAAAUUUGGAUGCACUUAAUUAACGACAGGAUAACACAGUUUGCUCUUAGCCACAUUAUGCCAAUUGUAUCUUAUAACCAGCCCGUGGAUAUUGAGAAAGACGUGGAGAUCACAAAGCCAGACAAGCAAAGCUCUAAAAACCAACCAAAUGUGGUUGAUUAAUUUUCUUGCGAUGAUUAUAAUUAAUUCCCAUGCUUAUCCGACUAGACUCGUCGCAUGCAACUGAGGUUAGCCCCCUUAGUAUCUCUUUACGUGCAAAGCAGGUGCACUGCCGAAUUCAUUAUAAGAUAGAAAAAACCAAAACAAAGUGGUCCGGUUUAUAUGGAAAACAAGACCCAAAAACCACACAACACACGAUUGAUCAAGGUACAAUCGUGCAAAAAUCCAAACCAUGGCAACGUCGGUCAACUCAUACUCUUCCGUCAACAUGCCCAUAACCCGAUAAUGUGUGGGCAAACUCUUCAAAGAUGCCUUCAAAAAGCAUCGGCGUCGGCAUCAUUCGGCCCCUUAAGUAUGUGUAUCCUCUUGCUAAGAACGAAAAAUCACAAGGAAGAAAGUUCAGUAUUCUUCCUCAAACUUUUUCAUGAAAUUAGCUAAAAACACAUUUCGUCGGAAACGAGCCGGGACUAAUCCGAGAAUUAUGGUUAUGUCAUAUCGUAUUACACUGCAGGCCUGAUCUGUACUGUUCACUGUUUUUCUGGAUGAUUAUCAGAUGAUGAGGGGAGCUUCGGUAGUACCCCGUUAAAAAACUUAUACAGAUCUGAAAGUAGCUGUUAAAAGGGUAUUUUGGUAUUUAAAGUGGUCAUCUCGCCUCCACGGUGAUAAGAGCAUCUACAGCCGGACGCCCCAAACCUGGCUCAAACACCUGUGCGACGGCCCGAUCACUGACCGGUCACAAAGAUGACCCGACACGCGUCUCAAAUGGGCCUCAAACGCCGGGCUGACUGGCACCCCCCAUAGCCAGCCCAAAUAUGGGGCAGAUAUGAGGGUGCUGUUGGGGAACGUAGUAAUUUCAAAAAAAUUCCUACGCACACACAGGAUCAUGGUGAUGCAGAGCAACGAGAGGGGAGAGUGUGUCCACGUACCCUCGUAGACCGAAAGCGGAAGUAUUAGCACAACGCGGUUGAUGUAGUCGUACGUCUUCACGAUCCGACCGAUCCGAGUACCGAACGUACGGCACCUCCGAGUUCAGCACACGUUCAGCUCGAUGACGUCCCUCGAACUCCGAUCCAGCCGACCUUUGAGGGAGAGUUCCGUCAGCACGACGACGUGGUGAUGGUGAUGCUACCGACGCAGGGCUUCGCCUAAGCACCGCUACGAUAUUAUCGAGGUGGAAUAUGGUGGAGGGGGGCACCGCACACGGCUAAGAGAUCAAGAGAUCAAUUGUUGUGUCUCCAAGGGGUGCCCCCCUCCCCGUAUAUAAAGGAGUGGAGGAGGGGGUGGGGGCCGGCCUCCCUAGGCAUGCCCCAUGAGGAGUCCUACUCUCUCCCCUUCCAAGUGGGAGUAGGAGAGGAGAGGGAGAGAGAGGGGGAAAGGAAAGGGGGGCGCCCCCCCUCCUUGUCCAAUUUGGACUGGGGGGAAGGGGGCGCGCGGCUGCCCUUGGCCACCCCUCCUCUUCUCCACUAGGGCCCAAUAGGCCCAUUAGUCUCCCCCGGGGGUUCCGGUAACCCCCCGGUACUCCGGUAUAUGUCCGAAACUUCCCGAAACCAUUCCGGUGUCCGAACAUAGUCGUCCAAUAUAUCGAUCUUUAUGUCUCGACCAUUUCGAGACUCCUCGUCAUGUCCGUGAUCAUAUCCGGGACUCCGAACAACCUUCGGUACAUCAAAACACAAAAGUCAUAAUACCGAUCGUCAUCUAACUUUAAGCGUGCGGACCUUACGGGUUCGAGAACUAUGUAGACAUGACCGAGACAUGUCUCCGGUCAAUAACCAAUAAUGGAACCUGGAUGCUCAUAUUGGCUCCUACAUAUUCUACGAAGAUCUUUAUCGGUCAAACCGCAUAACACCAUACGUUGUUCCCUUUGUCAUCGGUAUGUUACUUGCCCGAGAUUCGAUCGUCGGCAUCUUAGUACCUAGUUCAAUCUCGUUACCGGCAAGUCUCUUUACUCGUUCCGUAAUACAUCAUCUCGCAACUAACUCAUUAGUCUCAAUGCUUGCAAGGCUUAUAGUGAUGUGCAUUACCGAGAGGGCCCAGAGAUACCUCUCCGACAAUCGGAGUGACAAAUCCUAAUCUCAAAAUACGCCAACCCAACAAGUACCUUCGGAGACAACUGUAGAGCACCUUUAUAAUCAUCCAGUUACGUUGUGACGUUUGGUAGCAUACAAAGUGUUCCUCCGGUAAACGGGAGUUGCAUAAUCUCAUAGUCACAGGAACAUGUAUAAGUCAUGAAGAAAGCAAUAGCAACAUACUAAACGAUCAAGUUCUAAGCUAACGGAAUGGGUCAAGUCAAUCACAUUAUUCUCCUAAUACUGUGAUCCCGUUAAUAAAAUGACAACUCAUGUCUAUGGCUAGGAAACUUAACCAUCUUCGAUAACGAGCUAGUCACGUAGAGGCAUACUAGUGACACUAUGUUAGUCUAUGUAUUCACACAUGUAUUAUCUUUCCAGUUAAUACAAUUCUAGCGUGAAUAAUAAACAUUUAUCAUGAUAUGAGGAAAUAAAUAAUAACUUUAUUAUUGCCUCUAGGGCAUAUUUUCUUCAGUCUCCCACUUGCACUAGAGUCAAUAAUCUAGAUUACACAGUAAUGAUUCUAACACCCAUGGAGUUUUGGUGCUGAUCAUGUUUUGCUCGUGGAAGAGGCUUAGUCAACGGGUCUGCAACAUUCAGAUCCGUAUGUAUCUUGCAAAUCUCUAUGUCUCCCACCUGGACUUGGUCCCGGAUGGAAUUGAAGCGUCUCUUGAUGUGCUUGGUCCUCUUGUGAAAUCUGGAUUCCUUUGCCAAGGCAAUUGCACCAGUAUUGUCACAAAAGAUUUUCAUUGGACCCGAUGCACUAGGUAUGACACCUAGAUCGGAUAUGAACUCCUUCAUCCAGACUCCUUCAUUUGCUGCUUCCGAAGCAGCAUGUACUCCGCUUCACACGUAGAUCCCGCCACGACGCUUUGUUUAGAACUGCACCAACUGACAGCUCUACCGUUCAAUGUAAACACGUAUCCGGUUUGCGAUUUAGAAUCGUCCGGAUCAGUGUCAAAGCUUGCAUCGACGUAACCAUUUACGACUAGCUCUUUGUCACCUCCAUAAACGAGAAACAUAUCCUUAGUCCUUUUUGAGGUAUUUCAGGAUGUUCUUGACCGUUGUCUAGUGAUCCACUCCUGGAUUACUUUGGUACCUCCCUGCUAGGUUAAUAGCAACAAACACAUCAGGUCUGGUACACGGCAUUGCAUACAUGAUAGAGCCUAUGGCUUAAGCAUAGGGAACAUCUUUUAUUUUCUCUCUAUCUUCUGCAGUGGUCGGGCAUUGAGUCUGACUCAACUUCACACCUUGUAAUACUGGCAAGAACCCUUUCUUUUCUUGAUCCAUUUUGAACUUUUCCAAAACUUAGUCAAGGUAUGUGCUUUGUGAAAGUCCUAUCAAGCGUCUUGAUCUAUCUCUAUAGAUCUUGAUGCCUAAUAUGUAAGCAGCUUCACCGAGGUCUUUCAUUGAAAAACUUUUAUUCAAGUAUCCUUUUAUGCUAUCCAGAAAUUCUAUAUCAUUUCCAAUCAGUAAUAUGUCAUCCAAAUAUAAUAUCAGAAAUGCUACAGAGCUCCCACUCACUUUCUUGUAAAUACAGGCUUCUUCAAAAGUCUGUAUAAAACCAUAUGCUUUGAUCACACUAUCAAAACGUUUAAUCCAACUCCGAGAGGCUUGCACCAGUCCAUAAAUGGAUCGCUGGAGCUUGGACACUUUGUUAGCCCCCUUUGGAUCGACAAAACCUUCUGGUUGCAUCAUAUAGAACUCUUCUUCCAGAAAUCCAUUCAGGAAUGCAGUUUUGACAUCCAUUUGCCUAAUUUCAUAAUCAUAAAUUGCAGCAAUUGCUAACAUGAUUCGGACAGACUUAAGCAUCGCUACGGGUGAGAAAGUCUCAUCGUGGUCAAUCCCUUGAACUUGUCGAAAACCUUUCGCAACAAGUCGAGCUUUGUAGACAGUAACAUUACCGUCAGCGUUAGUCUUCUUCUUGAAAUCCAUUUAUUCUCAAUGGCUUGCCGAUCAUCGGGCAAGUUAACCAAAGUCCACACUUGUUCUCAUACAUUUAUCCCAUCUCAGAUUUCAUGGCCUCAAGCCAUUUUGCGGAAUCUGGGCUCACCAUCGCUUCUUCAUAGUUCAUAGGUUCACCUUGGUCCAGUAACAUGACCUCCAGAAUAGGAUUACCGUACCACUCUGGUGCGGAUCUUACUCUGGUUGACCUACGAGGUUCUGUAGUAAGUUGAUCUGAAGUUUCAUGAUCGAUAUCAUUAGCUUCCUCACUAAUUGGUGUAGGUGUCACAGGAACCGAUUUUUGUGAUGAACUACUUUCCAAUAAGGGAGCAGGUACAAUUAACUCAUCAAGUUCUAAUUUCCUCCCACUCACUUCUUUCGAGAGAUACUCCUUCUCUAGAAAGGAUCCAUUCUUGGCAACGAAUGUCUUGACUUCGGAUCUGUGAUAGAAGGUGUACCCAACAGUUUCCUUUGGGUAUCCUAUGAAGACACAUUUCUUUGAUUUGGGUUCGAGCUUAUCAGGUUGAAGCUUUUUCACAUAAGCAUCGCAGCCCCAAACUUUAAGAAACGACAACUUUGGUUUCUUUGCAAACCACAGUUCAUAAGGCGUCGUCUCAACGGAUUUCGAUGGUGCCCUAUUUAACGUGAAUGCAACCGUCUCUAAAGCAUAACCCCAAAACGAUAGCGGUAAAUCAGUAAGAGACAUCAUAGAUCGCACCAUAUCUAGUAAAGUACGAUUACGACGUUCGGACACACCAUUAUGCUGUGCUGUUCCGGGUGGCGUGAGUUGCGAAACUAUUCCGCAUUGUUUCAAAUGUAGACCAAACUCGUAACUCAAAUAUUCUCCUCCAUGAUCCGAUCGUAGAAACUUUAUUUUCUUGUUACGAUGAUUUUCCACUUCACUCUGAAAUUCUUUGAACUUUUCAAAUGUUUCAGACUUAUGUUUCAUUAAGUAGAUAUACCAAUAUCUGCUCAAAUCAUCUGUGAAGGUGAGAAAAUAACGAUACCCGCCGCGAGCCUCAACAUUCAUUGGACCACAUACAUCCGUAUGUAUGAUCUCCAACAAAUCAGUUGCUUGCUCCAUAGUUCCGGAGAACGGCGUUUUAGUCAUCUUGCCCAUAAGGCAUGGUUCGCAAGUACCAAGUGAUUCAUAAUCAAGUGAUUCCAAAAGUCCAUCAGUAUGGAGUUUCAUCAUGAGCUUUACACCAAUAUGACCCAAACGGCAGUGCCACAAAUAAGUUGCCCUAUCAUUAUCAACUCUGCAUCUUUUGGCUUCAACAUUAUGAAUAUGUGUAUCACUACUAUCGAGAUUCAACAAAAAUAGACCACUCUUCAAGGGUGCAUGACCAUAAAAGAUAUUACUCAUAUAAAUAGAACAACCAUUAUUCUCAGAUUUAAAUGAAUAUUCGUCUCGCAUCAAACAAGAUCCAGAUAUAAUGUUCAUGCUCAAUGCUGGCACCAAAUAACAAUUAUUCAGGUCUAAAACUAAUCCCGAAGGUAGAUGUAGAGGUAGCGUGCCGACUGCGAUCACAUCGACUUUGGAACCAUUUCCCACGCGCAUCGUCACCUCCUCCUUAGCCAGUCUUCGCUUAAUUCGUAGUCCCUGUUUCGAGUUGCAAAUAUUAGCAACAGAACCAGUAUCAAAUACGCAGGUGCUACUGCGAGCUCUGGUAAGGUACGCAUCAAUAACAUGUAUAUCACAUAUAUCUUUGUUCACCUUGCCAUCCUUCUUAUCCGCCAAAUACUUGGGGCAGUUCCGCUUCCAGUGACCAGUUUGCUUGUAGUAGAAGCACUCAGUCUCAGGCUUAGGUCCAGACUUGGGUUUCUUCUCUUGAGCAGCAACUUGUUUGCUGUUCUUCUUGAAGUUCCCCUUCUUCUUCCCUUUACCCUUUUUCUUGAAACUAGUGGUCUUAUUGACCAUCAACACUUGAUGCUCCUUUUUGAUUUCUACCUCCGCAGCCUUUAGCAUUGCGAAGAGCUCAGGAAUUGUCUUAUCCAUCCCUUGCAUAUUAUAGUUCAUCACGAAGCUCUUGUAGCUUGGUGGCAGUGACUGAAGAAUUCUGUCAAUGACACUAUCAUCCGGAAGAUUAACUCCCAGUUGAAUCAAGUGAUUGUUAUACCCAGACAUUUUGAGUAUAUGUUCACUGACAGAACUAUUCUCCUCCGUCUUAUAGCUGUAGAACUUAUGGAGACUUCAUAUCUCUCAAUCCGAGCAUUUGCUUGAAAUAUUAACUUCAACUCCUGGAACAUCUCAUAUGCUCCAUGACGUUCAAAACGUCGUUGAACUCCCGGUUCUAAGCCGUAAAGCAUGGCACACUGAACUAUUGAGUAGUCAUCAGCUUUGCUCUGCCAGACGUUCUUAACGUCGUCAGUUGCAUCUGCAGCAGGCCUGGCACCCAGCGGUGCUUCUAGGACGUAAUUCUUCUGUGCAGCAAUGAGGAUAAUCCUCAAGUUAUGGACCCAGUCCGUGUAAUUGCUACCAUCAUCUUUCAACUUUGAUUUCUCAAGGAACGCAUUAAAAUUCAACGGAACAACAGCACGGGCCAUCUAUCUACAAUCAACAUAGACAAGCAAAAUACUAUUAGGUACUAAGUUAAUAAUAAAUUUAAGUUCAAUUAAUCAUAUUAGUUAAGAACUCCCACUUAGAUAGACAUCCCUCUAAUCAUCUAAGUGAUCACGUGAUCCAAAUCAACUAAACCAUGUCCGAUCAUCACGUGAGAUGGAGUAGUUUUCAAUGGUGAACAUCACUAUGUUGAUCAUAUCUACUAUAUGAUUCACGCUCGACCUUUCGGUCUCAGUGUUCCAAGGCCAUAUCUGCAUAUGCUAGGCUCGUCUAAUUUAACCCGAGUAUUCUGCGUGUGCAAAACUGGCUUGCACCCGUUGUAGAUGAACGUAGAGCUUAUCACACCCGAUCAUCACGUGGUGUCUCGGCACGACGAACUUUGGCAACGGUGCAUACUCAGGGAGAACACUUUUAUCUUGAAAUUUAGUGAGAGAUCAUCUUAUAAUGCUACCAUCAAUCAAAGCAAAAUAAGAUGCAUAAAGGAUAAACAUCACAUGCAAUCAAUAUAAGUUAUAUGAUAUGGCCAUCAUCAUCUUGUGCUUGUGAUCUCCAUCUCCGAAGCACCGUCAUGAUCACCAUCGUCACCGGCGCGACACCUUGAUCUCCAUCGUAGCAUCGUUGUCGUCUCGCCAACCAUUGCUUCUACGACUAUCGCUACCGCUUAGUCGUAAAGUAAAGCAUUACAGGGUGAUUGCAUUGCAUACAAUAAAGCGACAACCAUAUGGCUCCUGCCAGUUGCCGAUAACUCGGUUACAAAACAUGAUCAUCUCAUACAAUAAAAUAUAGCAUCAUGCCUUGACCAUAUCACAUCACAACAUGCCCUGCAAAAAACAAGUUAGACGUCCUCUACUUUGUUGUUGCAAGUUUUACAUGGCUGCUACGGGCUGAGCAAGAACCGUUCUUACCUACGCAUCAAAACCACAACGAUAGUUCCUCAAGUUAGUGUUGUUUUAACCAUAUCAAGGACCGGGCGUAGCCACACUCGGUUCAACUAAAGUUGGAGAAACUGACACCCGCCGGCCACCUGUGUGCGAAGCAUGUCGGUAGAACCAGUCUCGCGUAAGCGUACGCGUAAUGUCGGUCCGGGCCGCUUCAUCCAGCAAUACCGCCGAACCAAAGUAUGACAUGAUGGUAAGCAGUAUGACUUGUAUCGCCCACAACUCACUUGUGUUCUACUCGUGCAUAUAACAUCUACGCAUAAAACCUGGCUCGGAUGCCGCUAUUGGGGAAUGUAGUAAUUUCAAAAAAAUUCCUACACACACACACACAGGAUCAUGGUGAUGCCAGUAACGAGAGGGGAGAGUGUGCCCACGUACCCUCGUAGACCAAAAGCGGAAGCGUUAGCACAAUGCGGUUGAUGUAGUCGUACGUCUUCACGAUCCGAGUACCGAACGUACGGCACCUCCGAGUUCAGCACACAUUCAGCUCGAUGACGUCCCUCGAACUCCGAUCCAGCCGAGCUUUGAGGGAGAGUUCCGUCAGCACGACGGCGUGGUGAUGGUGAUGAUGAUGCUACCAACGCAGGGCUUCGCCUAAGCACCGCUAUGAUAUUAUCGAGGUGGAAUAUGGUGGAGGGGGCACCGCACACGGCUAAGAGAUCAAGAGAUCAAUUGUUGUGUCUCCAAGGGGUGCCCCCCUCCCCGUAUAUAAAGGAGUGGAGGAGGGGGAGGGGGUUGGCCUCCCUAGGCGCGCCCCAUGAGGAGUCCUACUCCCACCGGGAGUAGGACUCCCCCCUUCCAAGUGGGAGUAGGAGAGGAGAGGGAAGGAGAGAGAGGGGGAAAGGAAAGGGGGGCGCCGCCCCCCUCCUUCUCUAAUUCGGAUUGGGGGGGGAGGGGGCGCGCGGCUGCCCUUGGCCGCCCCUCCUCUUCUCCACUAGGGCCCAAUAGGCCCAUUAUUCCCCCCGGUACUCCCGUAUAUGUGUGAAACUUCCCGAAACCAUUCCGGUGUCCGAACAUAGUCGUCUAAUAUACUGAUCUUUAUGUCUCGACCAUUUUGAGACUCCUCGUCAUGUCCGUGAUCAUAUCGGGGACUCCGAACAACCUUCGGUACAUCAAAACACAAAACUCAUAAUACCGAUCGUCAUCUAACUUUAAGCGUGCGGACCCUACGGGUUCGAGAACUAUGUAGACAUGACCGAGACACGUCUCCGGUCAAUAACCAAUAGUGGAACCUGGAUGCUCAUAUUGGCUCCUACAUAUUCUACGAAGAUCUUUAUCGGUCAAACCGCAUAACAACAUACGUUGUUCCCUUUGUCAUCAGUAUGUUACUUGCCCGAGAUUCGAUCGUCGGCAUCUCAAUACCUAGUUCAAUCUCGUUACCGGCAAGUCUCUUUACUCGUUCCGUAAUACAUCAUCUCGCAACUAAGUCAUUAGUCACAAUGCUUCCAAGCCUUAUAGUGAUGUGCAUUACCGAGAGGGCCCAGAGAUGCCUCUCCGACAAUCGGAGUGACAAAUCCUAAUCUCAAAAUACGCCAACCCAACAAGUACCUUCGGAGACACCUGUAGAGCACCUCUAUAAUCACCCAGUUACGUUGUGACGUUUGGUAGCACACAAAGUGUUCCUCCGGUAAACGGGAGUGGCAUAAUCUCAUAGUCAUAGGAACAUGUAUAAGUCAUGAAGAAAGCAAUAGCAACAUACUAAACGAUCAAGUGCUAAGCUAACGGAAUGGGUCAAGUCAAUCACAUUAUUCUCCUAAUAAUGUGAUCCCGUUAAUCAAAUGACAACUCAUGUCUAUGGCUAGGAAACUUAACCAUCUUCGAUUAAUGAGCUAGUCAAGUAGAGGCAUACUAGUGACACUACGUUUGUCUAUGUAUUAACACAUGUAUUAUGUUUCCGGUUAAUACAAUUCUAGCGUGAAUAAUAAACAUUUAUCAUGAUAUGGGGAAAUAAAUAAUAACUUUAUUAUUGCCUCUAGGGCAUAUUUCCUUCUAGCGCCCGGGCGCGUCCGGCAAGUCGGACCCGGCUCAGGCUCGCCCAUCCGACCACACAUAUAUUCCGCCCAAUCCGAUCCCCAGACCAAACCCUAACCACUUCACUCCACUCCCCUCCGCCACUCAAGCUCCCGUCCGGCCUUCUUCGGCAUGGCGGGCAGUGGAUCCGAGUCCUUCACCUUAAGAUUCCUUGACCCCAAGCUCAUCCCACGCGGCCCCGAGGAGGAGUUGGUCGUCUGGCUUGCGCUCUGCUGCUCCCGGGAGGAGGCCCGUGCAAGGCAGCACUCGGACUCCUUCGGUCGGUGUUGGGGAUAUUACCACUGGGCGUAAACCGGCCAGGAGAGGCCGGGUUAACUUCAUAAGUAGUUCAUCUGUAUCUGAAGCCCAUGAAGACAGACGGUGACGCUUCAUGAAGGCCCAGGGCCCAAAGCCGGUUUAAGGCAUGUAGACACAAACCGGCAUUGAGAUGUAAACUUGUGUUGUAAGAUAUGCGUAGCAGAGACCGAGCCGGACACGAUUAUGAGCCGGCCACGGAGUAUGUAAACCGACGGGCGUCAACCCAUGUAUAUAAGGGGACGACCCGGCGGCGGUUCAAGGACAACAGACAACAACUCGAGACUCAGGCAAAGCAUAUUCGCUCCCUGGUCAUCGAAACCCCGUCAAUUCCAUCACAACUAGACGUAGGCUUUUACCUUCAUCGUAAGGGCCCGCACUAGUAUAAAACUCUCUUGCGUCCCUUGUCCGCUUUAACCCCUUCAAGCUAACCCGUAGGGAUGGCUCCACGACUAAGUCCUUUCUCUAGGACAUCUGCCAUGACAAAACCACGACAGCUGGCGCCCACCGUGGGGCUAUCGCACGAUGGUUUCAAGUUCUUGGAGGGCAGCUUCGAAGGACUCAAGGGUUACGCUGUGGGCCGGAUGACCAAGAGUCGUCAUGGCAAGCUCUACAUCGACGAUGCAGGCUGGGGCCCCGAGGCCGGCUCAAUCGAGUACGGGUACCGGGUUCCCUUUGGUAGCAUACACGUUUUCAUUGGCAAGAUCGGCGAACUGGGCCCUGAGCCAGACAUCUGCACCGACCUCGUCGAAACGGCUUAGCGUGCGAGAUCUGCCCGGGUCAAGCCUGUCAUGAAGCGUGCCUUCGUGGGAGUUAUCCAUGGAGGGGAAUCUGAGGAUAUAUCGGAAUCUGGUGGUGAAACCAUCGUUUAUUCCGGCGACGAGUCAUCGACUGGAGAGACCGAGUCGUUAUAUCAGUUACAAGAUGGCCGGAUUGGGGGAUGUUUCGAUGGCGACAGUAUUCCAGACCCCUCUAAUCUGCCAAGCCGGGUGGCGAUCUUCAUGGCCGGCACGCAACCAGCGCUCCACUCUUCGACCGCAGCGGCGAUGAUUUCCGGAUCAGCAGCGCCGACAGCGGCUGGGGCAGGAGGCCCUGUGCGACCGCCGGCUCAGGUUCUAUCUGAUUUGUUUGAUAUGUUGGCAACGCUGAUGGCGGAGGUUAACCCGGCGGAUCAGGAUACACACAAUGCGGAAAUCGCGAAAGUGAAAGAUCAGAUCACCCAGGCAAAAGCCGACUUAGCAGCUGAGGAUACCAGGAUAGCCGCGGAGCGGGCCACUUUGGAUGCACAAGCUUACCGGAUUAUGCUGGAUCAGAGUGCGUCGAACGAAGUCCUGAAGAGGAGGCACCGAUCUCGCCUGCCGCCGGUUUAUGACGCUAGAAAUCUCUUUAACACCCCAGGAGCAGGAACCAGUAAUCCGCCGGUGGUAAACCGGGCAGAGGCACCCGAAGCAGGGGUGCUGGUUCAGCCACGUUUGGUGGAUCUGCCUCGUCAGAACAACGUUGUGGUACCUCAUGUCCCCACACCACCGGGUCAUUAUUCUAACCCAAUGGACAACAUUGUCGCUGCCGCUUCACGGCUGGCGGCCAUCCCAAUCGAAGGCGAUUCUCCAGCAGCGGUCGAGACGCGUGGGUUAAGGAGCUUCUUCAGACAGCCUUGAUUCAACAGGAGGCUUAUUCAUAUAGUCGCGAUCGGGUUCAUUCCACUCCCCGUCCAAGCCGGAGUUACAACAUGCAUAUGGAUGAACCGGUAGUAUCAAGCAAUGCGCGGAACCGUGAUCCGCCCCGUGGCCAUAACCCGGCGGGUGGUGCCGGUGAUGCUCAGGAGGUGGUGGACCGGGCUCGGGCACGCAGAGAGGCCGAGUUAGCGGCGCAGCACGAGGCCGGUCAGCUUACUCCAGUUCGUCCAACCACAUCGGUGGAACUAGGAGUUACCUCUAGUUCCUUGGGAGUGCCAUGUCUUUGUAACAUCCCAAAUUUUCAAUUUGGAAUGUUAUACAUUAGAUCAUCAUUGCAUAGCAUAUUUUAUUGCAUUUUGGAAAAUCCUCGAAAAUCCUAAGCUACUCAAGGACCCUCGGAGAGAGUUGGGGAUUUUUCCCGGUUUUCAUAUUUGAUUUUUAUCAAAUAAUAAAACGAGAGGAGAAAAUAUUUGAUUUUUCCCGGUUUUCAUAUUUGAUUUUUCCCGGUUUUAAUUAUUUUCUCUCCGAAAAAUAUUUCAUAUUAAAAUAAAUGAGAGGAGAAAAUAUGACUUCUCCAAAAUAACUAAAAUAUUGGAGGAAAAAUAUUAAAAUCAAAUAUUUGAUUUUAUUUGCAAUUUUAAUUGCAUUAGAAAAUUGCACGUUUUCAAAACUGCAUUUUUGGGCCAAACAAAUGUUCAUUUCGUUCUAAUUAUUUUAGUUAGACGGUGAAAAUUUGUUUUGGCAUUUUUGGAUUUUUAUUUAUUUUUCUAUGAUUUUUUUUAUGUUCGGCGAAAUUAUUAAAAAAAACGCCCGAGCGCGCCGACUGGGCCGAAGCCCAGCCGAUGGCCCAGCUGCCCCGCCCGAGCCGUCUCCCUCCUGGAGACCGCCGCCGCCCGAGUCCCGGUCGAGGACGACGCCGCCGCCGCCUUGCCCCUCCCCCACGGCACCCCCUCCCCUCCUUAAAUACCCCCGACCCCGCCGCCUCUCCACACCUCACCCCGCCCCGCCCCGCCGCCAGAAGCCGCCNNNNNNNNNNNNNNNNNNNNNNNNNNNNNNNNNNNNNNNNNNNNNNNNNNNNNNNNNNNNNNNNNNNNNNNNNNNNNNNNNNNNNNNNNNNNNNNNNNNNNNNNNNNNNNNNNNNNNNNNNNNNNNNNNNNNNNNNNNNNNNNNNNNNNNNNNNNNNNNNNNNNNNNNNNNNNNNNNNNNNNNNNNNNNNNNNNNNNNNNNNNNNNNNNNNNNNNNNNNNNNNNNNNNNNNNNNNNNNNNNNNNNNNNNNNNNNNNNNNNNNNNNNNNNNNNNNNNNCGUCCCGAGCCCCGCCGGAGUUGCACCGACGAGGUAGCCGCAGCCGCCGCCGACCGUCCGUUUUCUUUUCAAAAACUGCCUCGGUUUUUUCGAAACCCUAGGUUUAUUUUUUUAGAUCGGUUUUUUUGGUUUAAUUAAUUAGUGAACGUUCACCGAUCUGUUCGUUUUAACGAACGUGUUCGUCGGUUAGUCGCUGUUAACCAUAGAACGUGUUCGUCGGUUCGUCGGUUAGUCGGCUUUUUGCAAAACAGUAACCAUAGAGCCUUCUACCAGCCAUAUAUGCAUGUAGUAUAGCAUUAUUAUGUUCAUUACUCUCUAUGUGUUACAUUGCCAGCAUAUUCCAUGUGCUGACCCGUUUCGGGCUGCAACGUUUCAUGUUGCAGACUUUUCAGACGACGAGUAAGGUGCCUUAGGUCGUGGUCUUAUACUCAGUGAUGCCGUUGGAGUUGAUGGACUCACUAUUCUUCCAAGUCUUCCGCUGUUAUCGUAUUUAGAUGGCCUUAAGCCAUAUUUAUCAUACUUAUUCUCUUUUGAGAUACCCGUUGUAAUAAGUGUGUGAUUGCUACUCUGUUAUAAAUCCUCCAUUUGUACCGUGCGUGUCAGCAUUACUAAUCCAGGGAUGACACUGGUGCACAGCAGCACAGACUGUUUGAGGUAUGGUCGCUACAAAGGUGGUAUCAGAGCACACGCUGACUGUAGGACACGACCACUAAGCUUAAACCCUAGAACACUACUCCCUUCUCAUUUCUGACUCCUCUCCACUUUCUACUCUUUUAGGAAUGGCGGAUGCAAGGAACAAGUUCAUGCAACCGGAUGAAGAGACACCUUUUGGACGACACUUGAAGGAAGUCACUAAGUACCUGAACAUCGGAAUACCAAGCUUCACCGGAACCUACAACGCCACACUACUAGAAGAGGAGCGCUAGAAGAUUCAAGUUCAAGUUCCAGGAAGGACGUUCACGCCAGUCACUGAGCCUAUAGAGUUUUCCUUUGAUGCACCAACCUGGAGUUUAGGGAAGAGCAUGGCAGCCCACAUCUCUAUGGGACGUAUUGGAUAAGUCUACCGCAAGGAGCUUAAGGAUACUAUUUAUCAGAUUUGUGGACGCCGAGAUGAGCAAUGGGAGAUGAUCAGCACCAAGAAGGAUGGAUCAAUUGCAGCUUUCAUCUAGGAGCAAAACCAACACAUUCAUCGCCAGGAGAACCAGAUGUGCGCAGGCAUGAUAGAACUGAAGAAGGCAUUGACCAAGAUCAUGGAGUUGGAGGAAGAACUCAAGGCUACGCGCGAUGGAUAUGAGGAGGAGAUCGCCACGUUGUUGGAAAAGAAUGACGACCUGAUACAGAAGAUCGUUGUAUUCAUGGGAGAUCCAGCUCCAGGAGGAGAAGAUGACGAUUCUACUUGCCCGGAUAACUACAUCAUCAUCGACGACACCGACUCAGACCCCAGUGAAGAUGACUUUGUUGAUGAAGCUGGAGCAGAUAUCAUGGAGUCUUCGACCGAUCAAAAUUUCUAGUGGACCACCAUAUCAGUAGUAGUAUUCCCCCAUGUAAGUAGUAUAGUCCGAGCACUUUUGUAACGAUAGUUAGAUCGAUUGUAUGCCUUGAUUGAUUGAGUGAUAUUGAUUGUGUUUGUCUCAUGUGCAUAUGGGUAGUGUUUUCCUCUCUAGACCUCAUUCUAUUCUAAUUCUCAUCUUUUCUAAACCUAUCAGAUGCCUCCGAGACGCGACACCGGAUUUGUUUUCCCACCGGAGAUCACUCAGUUGAUUCAGCAGCAGAAUGCCCUGAUGCAAGUGUUAGUACAAAACCAAGGCAACAACAACAACAACCCACCACCACCACCUGUUGAUCACUUAGCCCGUUUCUUGAGGCUAAAUCCGCCGGUGUUUUCCAGCAGCACCGAGCCAAUUGUUGCAGAUGAUUGGCUCCGCAAAGUUGGAAGGGAGUUGACCACUGCAGGAUGCACAGAUGCGGAGAGAGUGCGUUUUGCCGCACAUCAGCUUGAUGGACCCGCAGCAUCAUGCUGGGAGAAUUACACAACCACACACCCUAUUGACACUGUCACAUGGGACCAAUUUCAGCAAGCUUUCCGUACUGCCCAUGUUUCAGCAGGAGCUAUGGCUAUGAAGAAGCGUGAGUUUCGCAACCUAUGCCAAGGAGGACGCACCGUAGGCCAGUAUGUGGAGGACUUUAGUAAGUUAGCACGUUAUGCUCUAGAUGACGUUGCUACAGAUGCAGCCAAGCAGGAGAAGUUUCUGGAAGGACUGAAUGAUGAGCUGAGCAUGCAGCUGAUGGUAGCAACCUUCAACAACUACCAGGAGUUGGUAGAUAGAGCACUCAUGAUUGAAGGGAAGCAGCAGCAGAUUGAAAACCGUAAGGGGAAGUAUGGACAAGGGAAGUACAAUUCUGGAGCUCGGCAGAAGCCACGUUUUACCCCGAAAUCGGGAGGACAGUUUUAGCAUACCCAUGGAGGAGGUAGUUCGCACAACCAUAGUGGACCCAAGAAUGGUAAUGGGAAUGGAGGAAGCAACGGGCAGAACCGUAAUAACCCAUCUACCCCAGCCAAGAGGGAUCUAAGGCACGUUACUUGUUUCAAGUGCCAGAAGACUGGACAUUAUGCAACUGAAUGCCCUGAAGCCCAGAAUGGAAAUGGCAAUGGAAGCUCUGGGAAGAAGCUGAACCCUUUCAACAAAGAACAUGUGAACCACGUUAGCGUGGAGGAGGUAGAAGCUCAGCCAGAUGCAGUAAUAGGUAAGUUUUUGGUUAAGUCAUUUACUACACUCGUUCUUUUUUAUACUGGUGCAUCGCAUUCAUACAUAUCAAGGGGAUUUGUGGAUAAGUAUAAACUGCCAACCCAAGCCCUUAGGUCACCCAUGUUAGUAACCUCGCCAGGAGCAGAGUAUAUGGCUAGUUUAUGGUGUGAUCGGUUACCAUUAAGGAUUGGUAACUACGUGUUUCCCUCGGACCUAAUAGUACUGGAAUCGCAAGGAUUGGAUGUGAUAUUAGGCAUGGAUUGGUUAUCAAAGUAUGGAGGGAACAUUGAGUGCGCCAGUAAGACGAUUUUGCUUACCACCCCAGAAGGAAGAAGGAUUAAGUAUGUAUCCCGGCAUAUGCCGAAGAGGACUCAGGUGAAUUCCUUAUCAGGAGUUGUACAGGAGGAAGUACCAAUGGUGAAGGAUUUCCCUGACGUAUUUCCAGAAGAGUUGCCAGGCAUGCCACCGGAUAGAGACAUUGAGUUUCUGAUUGAACUUUUGCCAGGCACAGGACCAAUAUCUAAGAGACCGUACAGGAUGCCCGCAAAAGAUUUGGAGGAAAUUAAGAAGCAGAUUAAGGAGUUACUGGAUAAAGGCUAUAUUCUCCCAAGUUCGUCACCUUGGGGAUCACCCGUACUUCUAGUGGAGAAGAAAGAUGGAUUGUUGAGGAUGGUUGUUGAUUAUCGAGGAUUGAACGAAGUGACCAUCAAGAAUAAGUACCCACUGCCGAUGAUCAAUGAUUUGUUUGACCGCUUACAGGGAGCUAAGGUAUUUUCCAAGACCGAUCUACGAUCAGGAUACCAUCAGUUAAAGAUUCGAGAGCAGGAUAUACCUAAGACGGCUUUUACCACCAGGUAUGGGCUAUAUGAGUAUACCGUUAUGUCAUUUGGUCUGACUAACGCACCUGCCUAUUUCAUGAACCUGAUGAACAAAGUGUUUAUGGAGUUUUUGGAUAAGUUCGUCGUGGUGUUCAUUGAUGAUAUUUUGGUCUACUCAAAGAAUGAAGAGGAGCAUAAGGAGCAUUUGCGUUUGGUACUUGAGAAGCUCAGAGAACAUCAGUUAUACGCCGAGUUCAGCAAAUGUGAGUUCUGUCUGAAGGAAGUUGGAUUCCUCGGACAUGUUAUAUCUGGAGAAGGAAUAGCAGUAGACCCCGCCAAAGUUGACACAGUAACAAGCUGGGAAUCACCCACGUCAGUUGGAGAGACCCGGAGUUUUCUUGGACUUGCAGGAUACUACCAGAGGUUCAUUGAGAAUUUCUCAAAGAUUGCUAAGCCCAUGACAGAGCUGUUAAAGAAGGACACCAAGUUCAAUUGGACUGAGGAUUGUGAAGCUAGUUUUCAGGAGUUGAAGAAACGUUGGUUACAUCACCAGUGUUGAUUCUGCCACAACAACGCAAGGAUUAUGAAGUUUAUUGCGACGCUUCUCGUCGAGGACUUGGAGCAGUGCUUAUGCAGGAAGGAAGAGUUGUUUCAUAUGCUUCACGGCAACUUAAACCCCAUGAGAAGAAUUAUGCCACGCAUGAUUUGGAGUUAGCAGCCGUAGUGCAUGCGUUGAAGACAUGGAGACAUUUUCUCAUCGGAAAUCACUGUGAGGUGUACACGGAUCACAAGAGUUUGAAGUACAUUUUCACGCAAAAGGAGUUGAAUCUCAGGCAAAGGAGAUGGUUGGAGCUCAUUAAGGAUUAUGAUAUGAGAUUACAUUAUCACCCAGGGAAGGCUAACGUAGUAGCUGAUGCGUUGAGCCGCAAGAGCCAUGUCAACACCCUCAUGACCGGAGAGUUACCGAAAUUAUUAGCCGAGGAUUUUCGCGAGCUAUGUUUGGAGAUAGUUCCAAGAGGCUAUUUAGCAACAUUGGAGAUUCAGUCUACCCUGAUGGAAAAGAUCAGAGAAGCUCAGAAGACAGACAAGGAGAUUGACGAGAUAAAGGAAAGAAUGAGCAAAGGAAAAGCCAAGGGAUUUCGUGAGGAUGAGCACGAUACCUUAUGGUUUGAGGACCGCGUUUACAUGCCCAAUGAUCCGGAGAUCAGGAAGUUGAUCUUGCAAGAGGCCCAUGAUUCACUGUAUUCGAUUCACCCAGGAAAUACCAAGAUGUAUUUGGAUUUGAAGGAUACUUUCUGGUGGACCGGAAUGGAGAAGGAUAUUGCGGAGUAUGUAGCAGUUUGUGAUGUAUGUCAGAGAGUCAAGGCAGAGCAUCAGAAGCCACCAGGAUUGCUACAGCCAUUGCCGAUACCCGAAUGGAAGUGGGAUAAACUAGGCAUGGAUUUUAUCACGGGAUUGCCCAGGACUCGUUCAUGCUAUGACUCAAUAUGGGUUGUAGUCGAUCGAUUGACGAAAGUAGCUCAUUUCAUCCCAGUGAAGACCACUUACACCAGUGCUAAGUUGGCAAGGAUAUACAUGACCAUAAUCAUAUGUUUGCAUGGAGUUUCGAGGACCAUUGUAUCAGAUAGAGGAACCCAGUUUACCUCGAAGUUUUGGAAUCAGUUACAUGAAACUUUGGGAACCAGGCUAGAAUUCAGUACAACUUUUCACCCACAGACAGAUGGACAGACCGAGAGAGUCAAUCAGAUUUUGGAAGAUAUGCUGAGAGCUUGUGCGCUAGAUUAUGGAUCUAGUUGGGACGACAAUUUGCCAUAUGCAGAGUUUUCUUACAACAACAGUUAUCAAACCAGUUUGAAGAUGGCCCCUUUCGAAGCUUUGUACGGAAGGAGGUGUAGGACACCAUUGUUAUGGGACGAAGUUGGAGACCGCCAGUUGUUUGGACCAGACUUGAUUAAGGAAUCAGAACAGAAAGUGAAGUUGAUUCGCGAUAGGCUCAAGGUAGCCCAGUCCAGGCAGAAGAGUUAUGCGGAUUCUAAACGUAAGGAGACAGUUCACGAAGUCGGAGACAGAGUUUAUCUUCGUGUAUCACCACUUCGAGGAGUGAAGCGCUUUGGAGUUAAAGGAAAGUUAGCGCCAUGUUUUGUAGGACCAUACCGAGUUUUGGAGCGUAUGGGAGAAGUUGCUUACAAGCUGGAAUUGCCUGAAGGAUUGUCAGGAGUUCAUGAUGUAUUUCACGUUUCCCAGUUGAAGAAGUGCCACGCAGAUAUGGCCGAUAUACCACUGAGGGAUACAGUGCCGUUGGAAGCGAUUCAGUUGGAAAGUGACUUGACCUAUGAGGAGAAACCAGUUAAGAUUCUUGAGUAUGCCAGCCGAGUCACCCGCAGCAAGGUUAUCAAGUUUUGCAAAGUUCAGUGGAGUAACCACACUGAAGAUGAAGCCACCUGGGAGCGAGAGGCAGAUCUACGGAAGAACCACUCUCACCUAUUUUCUAGCCAACCCGAAUCUCGAGGGCGAGAUUCAUCUUAAGGGGGUAGGUUUGUAACAUCCCAAAUUUUCAAUUUGGAAUGUUAUACAUUAGAUCAUCAUUGCAUAGCAUAUUUUAUUACAUUUUGGAAAAUCCUCGAAAAUCCUAAGCAACUCAAGGACCCUCGGAGAGAGUUGGGGAUUUUUCCCGGUUUUCAUAUUUGAUUUUUAUCAAAUAAUAAAAUGAGGAUUUUUGGUUUUAAUUAUUUUCUCUCCGAAAAAUAUUUCAUAUUAAAAUAAAUGAGAGGAGAAAAUAUGACUUCUCCAAAAUAACUGAAAUAUUGAAGGAAAAAUAUUAAAAUCAAAUAUUUGAUUUUAUUCGGAUUUUAUUUGCAAUUUUAAUUGCAUUAGAAAAUUGCAUGUUUUCAAAACUGCAUUUUUGGGCCAAAAAAUGUUCAUCUCGUUCUAAUUAUUUUAAUUAGACGGUGAAAAUUUGUUUUGGCAUUUUUGGAUUUUUAUUUAUUUUUCUAUGAUUUUUUUUAUGUUCGGCGAAAUUAUUUAAAAAAAAUCGCCCGAGCGCGCCGACUGGGCCGAAGCCCAGCCGAUGGCCCAGCUGCCCCGCCCGAGCCGUCUCCCUCCUGGAGACCGCCGCCGCCCGAGUCCUGGUCGGGGACGACGCCGCCGCCGCCUUGCCCCUCCCCCACGGCACCCCCUCCCCUCCUUAAAAACCCCGGACCCCGCCGCCUCUCCCCACCUCACCCCGACCNNNNNNNNNNNNNNNNNNNNNNNNNNNNNNNNNNNNNNNNNNNNNNNNNNNNNNNNNNNNNNNNNNNNNNNNNNNNNNNNNNNNNNNNNNNNNNNNNNNNNNNNNNNNNNNNNNNNNNNNNNNNNNNNNNNNNNNNNNNNNNNNNNNNNNNNNNNNNNNNNNNNNNNNNNNNNNNNNNNNNNNNNNNNNNNNNNNNNNNNNNNNNNNNNNNNNNNNNNNNNNNNNNNNNNNNNNNNNNNNNNNNNNNNNNNNNNNNNNNNNNNNNNNNNNNNNNNNNNNNNNNNNNNNNNNNNNNNNNNNNNNNNNNNNNNNNNNNNNNNNNNNNNNNNNNNNNNNNNNNNNNNNNNNNNNNNNNNNNNNNNNNNNNNNNNNNNNNNNNNNNNNNNNNNNNNNNNNNNNNNNNNNNCACCCCCCCGAGCCCCGCCGGAGCCCAUCCCGAGCCCCGCCGGAGUUGCCCCGACGAGGUAGCCACAGCCGCCGCCGACCGUCCGGUUUUCUUUCAAAAACUGCCUCGGUUUUUUUUUCGAAACCCUAGGUUUAUUUUUUUAGAUCGGUUUUUUUGGUUUAAUUAAUUAGUGAACGUUCACCGAUCUGUUCGUUUUAACGAACGUGUUCGUCGGUUAGUCGCUGUUAACGAACGUCUGUUCGUUUAACCGUUCGUCAGUUUUCUUUUUCGUCGGUUUUUCCGCGAUUAUUCCAGAUCGCGAUUUCUGAUCAGAUUUUCGUUCUGGUUUAUCUUUUCGCUCGUUUAUCGGAAUCAGGCGAUUCAAGCGCCUAGAGUUUCGUCUCGAAAUUCUCUUUCCGUUUAACCAACUCAAACAAGUUUUUGCUACUGUAAAAUUUGACCUAGAUCCAGAUUAGUAAACGAAGCUUGUUUCUUUCGCCGUUUGACUUUCGUUGCUUCGUUCGAUUUGUUUCUUUUUGCAAACCGGAGUUCUUAAGUUGAACUUUCUGGUUAGAUCUUUUAUUUGAGUUUUACCUGUGCAUUUGAUGAGUGCUUAUUGUAUGCUUGUUGUUUGCGAUAGAGUACCCGGAGAGCGCCGCUUGCUACUUCGAAUCUCUAAGUUUCACGGAUCAUCAGCAAGGCAAGUAACACUUUGAUCAUACCUUUUUUUACUACCCAAUUUUAUUGCAUUAGACAAAUCCUCAAACAUUGCAUGGUUAGGAUCUAAUUAAAUUGUGGGUAUUGGGAAGUAGUUGAGGUAGUACCUAUUACCUGUUUUGUUAUCAAACCCUUGGGAGUUACUUCUACGUUUGCUUAUAUUGCUAUGCUAUGCUAGUAGACGUGGAUUGGGUUUGAGUGUAUCCAUGACAGAUGUGAGAUUGUUAAUUAUGGUUAACCUUAAGGUGGCAACUAAAACUCACAUCUGGGUGGAUUGAGGUACCUGGGUAUUCCAGGAUUGCCUGUUUUUCUAAGGACCGCCACCCAGGCUCAAAGGGAUCAUGAGAUUAUUCUUGCUAGAAACUUUCGUGUGCAGCCACAAGCUAUUAUGGGCUCUAGCAUAGUUGAUUAAGUUGUGUGAGCUCUUGAAGAGGUAGACUAGCAGAUGUAGGGGUUGUAGGUGGUACUGUCUACCCGGAGUAGAGAGUUAACGCUUCUGAAAGACUGUGUCUCGUUCAUCCGUUUCUCAAACACCAUGAAGUGCGAGAAUCCCAACGGAUGAGAUCGAGUCUUGUGGGGAAAAGUGCACAAACCUCUGCAGAGUGUACAAUCUAAUCAUGGUUAGCCGUGUCCCCGGUUAUGGACAUCUUCAGUAUCUAGUACUUGGAUUAUCAUGUGAAACUCAUCACCAUGUUACUUUAAUUAAUUUUGUUGGGUUAAUGAUGAUACUUAAUUGGGAUUGAGAAUGUUGUCAACCAUUCUCAAUGUUUAACAACCACCAUGACAGUUAAAUAAAAUUUAUUCCUUUGCAGUAGGGAAAAAUUGGCCUUUUGCAAAACAGUAACCAUAGAGCCUUCUACCAGCCAUAUAUGCAUGUAGUAUAGCAUUAUUAUGUUCAUUACUCUCUAUGUGUUACAUUGCCAGCAUAUUCCAUGUGCUGACCCGUUUGGGCUGCAACGUUUCAUGUUGCAGACUUUUCGGACGACGAGUAAGGUGCCUUAGGUCGUGGUCUUAUACUCAGUGAUGCCGUUGGAGUUGAUGGACUCACUAUUCUUCCAAGUCUUCCGCUGUUAUCGUAUAUAGAUGGCCUUAAGCCAUAUUUAUCAUACUUAUUCUCUUUUGAGAUACCCGUUGUAAUAAGUGUGUGAUUGCUACUCUGUUAUAAAUCCUCCAUUUGUACUGUGCGUGUCAGCAUUACUGAUCCAGGGAUGACACUGGUGCACAGCAGCACAGACUGUUUGAGGUCUGGUCGCUACAGUCUUGUCCCGGCGUUGCGCAAUGUACGCCUGCCCAAAGAUUUCAAGGGCCUGCGCAAGGUGCCGAAUUACACCGCCGAUUUAUCCCCGGAAACAUGGGUCGAAAGCUAUGAGAUGGCCAUGGAGAUGCUGGACGUGGAUGAUGCGGCAUGUGCGAAGUAAUUCACCAUGAUGCUAGAAGGAACGACCCGCACUUGGCUAAAGAGCUUACCGGCUAAUUCUAUCAGGUCAUGGGCCGAGUUGAGAGCCCGGUUUAUUCAGAAUUUCAAGGAUACAUGCAAGAAGCCCAUGUCAAUUGUGGACCUAGCUGCCUGUGUCCAGGAGGAAGGAGAGUCAACAACCCAUUGGGUGCGCCGGGUUUCGGAGAUUUUCCAUUCAUCAGACCACAUCAACGCUGACACCGCAGUUUUAACAUUGGAAGGCAAUUGCCGGUUUGAACCAUUGAAGUUGAAGUUGGGACGGCUUAAACGUCAUUGCAAUGACAUGGGAACCCUCAUGGCUGCACUAGUGAAGUAUGCCGACUCUGAUAGUACCAAGGAUCCCGAGUCUGACGAUGAUAAGACAGGGAAGGGAAAGAAGAGCGGCAACGCCAAGGGGCAGCACCACAACCCGGCGGGUCAUGGAAACGGCGGCAAGCGUAAAGCGGACCAUGGUUUAGACUUUGUGGCUAACACUAAUACACAUGACAAGGAAAGAAGAGUUGAAGUUUUACAAGGACAAUGUUGAUCCGGUAGAUAUGACUUCGUUGAAGAAACCAACUAUGGAGCAUGAUCCGGCCCUGAAGUUUAAAUUGGCUGAUGAGGCUAAACUUGUUGACUUCGAACCUGGUGAUUCGUCCAAGCAGUUUAGCAUCAGCGCUAACUUGGAUCCGAAAUAGGAAAGCGUGCUCAUCGAGUUCAUCCGUGAGAAUCGGGACAUCUUUGCAUGGAAGCCUUCUGACAUGCGUGGUGUACCGAGAGAACUCGCUGAGCACACUCUCAAUGUUGAUCCUAAGUAUAAACCGGUCAAGCAGUUUCUCCGCCGGUUCAAUGAAGGAAGACGCAAACUAUUGGGGAAGAAGUAGCCAGGCUCUUGGCGGCUGGAUUUAUCGUUGAAGUAUUCCAUCCUGAGUGGUUGGUUAAUCCGGUGCUGGUCCUCAAGAAGAAUGGCACUUGGCGUAUGUGUGUGGACUACACAGAUCUCAACAAAGCUUGUCCAGCAGAUCCUUUUGCCCUCCCCCGUAUUGAUCAAAUUAUUGAUGCUACGGCGGGUUGUGAGUGUUUAAGUUUUUUGGAUGCAUAUUCUGGUUAUCAUCAGAUCAAAAUGGCAGUUAAGGACCAGGAGAAGACAGCCUUCAUAACUCCCUUUGGAGCCUUCUGCUAUGUGUCCAUGCCCUUUGGGCUUAAGAGUGCACAGGCAACUUAUCAACGGUGUGUACAGAAUUGUCUUCAUAAACAAAUCAGCCGCAAUGUUCAUGCCUAUGUGGAUGAUAUUGUGGUAAAAUCAAGGAAGAAGGAGACAUUGAUUGAUGACUUGAAGGAAACCUUUGAUAACCUGCGGGUUUAUAAAAUGAUGCUUAAUCCGGCCAAAUGUGUCUUUGGUGUGCCUGCAGGGAAGCUCCUGGGCUUUUUGGUGUCUAACAGGGGCAUUGAAGCUAAUCCGGAGAAGAUCAAGGCCAUCACCUCCUUGGCUAAACCAAAGUGUAUCAAUGAUGUUCAACGCCUAGCAGGCCGGAUUGCCGCGUUGAGCCGGGUUGUCAGUCGCCUUAGUGAGAAGGCCAUCCCUUUGUAUCAGAUGCUGAAGAAAACAGAUAACUUCGUCUGGAGUGACGCCGCUAAUGAAGCAUUUGAGGACUUAAAGCGGCAGCUAGCUAAUCCGCCGAUUCUCGCUGCUUCGGUUGAUAAAGAACCGUUGCUGCUAUAUGUGGCAGCUAACGCUCGGGUUGUUAGUGUGGCUAUUGUGGUAGAGCGCAAAGAGGCAGGAAAGGAAUAUCCGGUUCAGCGGUCAGUUUACUAUAUCAGUGAGGUACUUAUUGAGUUCAAGCAGAGGUACCCACAUUGGAAAAAAUUGGUGUAUGGGGUUUUCAUGGCAAGCCGGAAAUUGAAGCAGUAUUUUCAAGGUCAUCCCAUCACGGUGGUCAGCUCUGCUCCUUUAGGAGAUAUAAUCCAGAACAGGGAAGCAACCGGCCGGAUUGCUAAGUGGGCUAUUGAGCUCGGGCCUCACGGGUUGAAAUACAUGCCCCGAACGGCGAUCAAAUCUCAGGCACUUGUGGAUUUCAUCAAUGAUUGGACAGAGUUGCAAGCGCCAUAAGAGAAGCCGGAUCAUACUUAUUGGACUAUUCAUUUUGAUGGUUCCAAGCAAUCGGAGGGCUCGGGGGCUGGAGUCGUAUUAACUUCCCCACGAGGUGAGAAGUUUUGUGAUGUUCUCCAUUUAAUGUUCCCGUGCACUAACAAUGCAGCUGAAUAUGAGGCUUUACUCCAUGUCUUCGGAUGGCUAAGGAGAUGAACUUAAGCCGAGUUAAGUGCUUCGGUGACUCGGAUCUUGUGGCUCAACAAGUGUCCGACACUUGGGAUUCCAAGGACCCACUCAUGGCAGCAUAUCGUCGUGAGGUGGAUAUUGUUGCAGGUCACUUUAAAGGUUAUCAGGUUGAUCAUGUGGACCGGCGAAGGAAUGAAGCGGUGGACGCUUUAAGCUGCCUGCGUUCCCAACGUAAACAGGUUCCACCUAAUGUCUUCUUGGAUGUUUUGCAUAAUCCGUCCGUCAAGCUCCCUGGUGAAGAGGAUUUGGUUGUUCCUGAUCUGGAGGCCCAAUUGGUGGCGGCUCUUCAUGUUGUCCCGGAUUGGACGGUUCCAUAUUUGGCGUAUAUCAACCGGGGCGAGUUACCAGAAGAUGAAACUUUGGCCAGGCAGAUAACUCGGCGGUCCAAGUCCAUGACUAUUAUCAAUGGAGAGUUACAUCAUUGCAGUGUGACAGGGGCGUUUCAACGCUGUGUAUCUCCUGAGGAAGGUCGUGAAAUUUUGCGUGAGAUCCACGAAGGAGAUUGUGGACACAACGCCGGUUCAAAAUCUUUGGUGGCCAAGGUGUUUCGUCAUGGUUUCUAUUGGUUGACAGCUCAUGCUAAUGCCGAGGACUUGGUUAAAAGAUGUGAUGGCUGUCAGAAAUUCUCACGGCGUGCUCAUGUACUAGCUCAAGAAUUGAGGAUGAUUCCAAUCACCUGGCCGUUUGCAACUUGGGGGCUGGAUAUGGUUGGGCCUUUCAAGAGGUCCAAGGACAAGAAGACCCACCUUUUGGUGGCGGUUGAUAAGUUCACGAAGUGGGUGGAGGCAGAGCCAGUUAGUAAGUGUGACGCAACCACGACUGUUCAAUUCAUCAAAAAGGUGAUCUUCCGGUUCGGCUUUCCACACAGCAUUAUAACAGACAAUGGUACCAAUCUGUCAAAAGGUGCCAUGAAGGAGUUCUGUCAACGUGAGCACAUCCGGCUUGACGUGUCAUCAGUGGCUCACCCACAGUCUAAUGGUCAAGCGGAGAGGGCCAAUCAAGAGAUCUUGAGAGGCAUCAAACCCCGGCUUAUGGUUCCUUUGCAACGGACGCCGGGUUGUUGGGUUGAGGAGUUACCUUCAGUGUUAUGGAGCAUCAAUACCACACCCAACAGAUCGAUAGGCUACACGCCGUUCUUCAUGGUUUAUGGAGCGGAAGCGGUUCUUCCUAGUGACAUCUGUCAUGACUUGCCUCGUGUAGCGGCAUAUGUUGAAGCGGAUAACGAGAAGGCACGACAGGAAGCUCUUGACCUGUUAGAUGAGGAGCGUGACAUGGCGACAGCCCGUUCGGCGAUUUAUCAGCAAGAUCUGCGUCAUUAUCAUAGCCGCCGGGUUAGAACCAGAACCUUUCAAGAAGGAGAUUUGGUGCUUCGACUCAUCCAGGAUCAGACGGAUAUGCACAAGCUAUCCCCCCUUGGGAAGGACCUUUUGUGGUCAGCAAGGAUUUGCACAAUGGGUCGUACUACCUAAUCGAUGUUCAAGAGCACAAAGACUCACGUAAAUCGGAGGAGGAGACCAAUCGGCCAUGGAAUAUUGCUCAUCUUCGGCCCUACUAUACUUGAGCUACAGGUUCUGCUUAUGUACAUAUUAUGACAUUGUAUAUAUUAUGAUCAAUAUAAUAAACCGGAACCUCAGCUAAAGCGGGGUAUCUAUUGUUUUCUUGCAUCACGUGUGGUUACAUGGAGCUUACAAAGCGGCGUCCGGAUUACCCCUUGAUUUAGCUUCUUAAAGCUUGAUAUCGGAUCACUUGGGGGCUUGGUCGUAUCCGAACCAUAGCUACACCUCUUGAUCGGCGCAAUGCCACAGCAUCACUUGGAGGCUUGGUCGUAUCCGAACCAUAGCCACGCCUCUUGAUCGGCGUAAUGCCACAGCAUCACCUGGGGGCUUGGUCGUAUCCGAACCAUAGCCACGCCUCUUGAUCGGCGUAAUGCCACAGCAUCACUUGGGGGCUUGAUCGUAUCUGAACCAUAGCCACGCCUCUUGAUCGGCAUAAUGCCACAGCAUCACUUGGGAGCUUGGUCGAACCCGAACCAUAGCUACGCCUCUUGAUCGGCGAAAAGCCACAGCAUCACUUGGGGGCUUGGUCGAGCCCGAACCAUAGCAACGCCUCUUGAUCGGCGUAAUUCCACAGCAUCACUUGGGGGUUUGGUCGAACCCGAACCAUAGCAACACCUCUUGAUCAAAUUUGGGGCCUGGCAGCCCGUGAAAAGCCUCGCACUACUAGGAAAAGGCCUGCUAGUGGCGCACCUGUUUUGCCUACUAAUGGCGCACUACAGGUCCGCCACUAGCAUCACGCCAUUAGAUUUUUUUACUAAUGGCGCACCACAGGUGCGCCAUUAGUAUGCCUCCCAGGGGGCCAUAUUUAACCAUGUGCUCUGGCCUACUAAUGGCGCACUUGUUGAUGAUGCGCCACCAGUGUGCAUUUUGCAGUGCGCCACUAAAGUGCCGGGUGGUGCGCCACUAGUAUGAAUAUUAGGGAUUUUUUUCUUUUCUGAUAUUUGCACAGGUUACAAAACAUAUUACUGCACAAAAUAUAGACAGCACAACAUAUAAAUAGCAGAGUUAUCGAAUACAAUAGAAGAUUAGUCUCCGAAUACAAUUCAUCAUAUUAGUCUCCGAAUUCAAAAGACCGAACAAAGUUAGAACAUUACAAGUCUCUAAACCGCGAGUAGCGAGUUUGUCUUCACAUUACAAGUCGAUAUCGAUCAUCUAAACUACCAUCACAUAGAAGAGAGUUGCGGUCAUCACGUUUAGCAUCAUCGCGAUGAAACUGGUCUUCAUCCGGUUCCUCCUCCGCUCCCUCCUCUCUCCCGCUAGAUAGCGCGCGUAUCUAGCUUCCGCCUCCGCCCUAGUGGUGUACCCUUUGUAACUGUUACCGCUGAAACGGUGAACCUGUCUCCGACACUCCUCCUAGUCGUCGUAGACUCCGGGAACCUUACCCUUGUACAUGACAUACGAUGGCAUCUCUAUGCACUAGGCAAACAAAACGUUAGUAGCAAUUCACAGACAAUACAUAAGCAAUAUAUAAGUAUGCAACAAAAGGACCGGAAGAGAAAAGCAACACAUUAAUAGCACGAUUCAUGGUCCUACUAAUAAAUAGCAUCGAUUACAUAUAAGUUGAACGACUGUCCAAACCAAAGAGACAUACAAGUUCAUUAAGUUUAAUAUUACAACAUGAGCCAUUCGACAUUUCAGAACUACAUAGCAUCACUACUUUCGACUCGACUCAGGGACCGGAGCAUGGAUGAAGCCGCCGUCUUUCGUGAUGGUCAUGAAAUCGCGGGCGUUGUCAGCCUGCAUUUGUAGCGUUGUUUCUAUCUCACUGUUGGACGGUUGAUGUCUGAGAUAGAACUGCCCCGAGGUACGAAGGACAUCUUGAUGGAUGAUUUUCGCAAACUCUGACUGGAUGCGAAAGAAUUCUUGUCUGAUGUCCGCGUCCUGGAUUGCCGACAAGCGUGCGGCCCAAUCUUUGAGAUUAUUUGGUAGCAGAAGGUGAUUAUGGUCCCGUACGAUCGCCCGCAUGUGAUGGAAGGCGUAGUAGGCAUCCUUCUGACCGCCAGGCGGCUGCUUGACGCAGGGGAACGUCGUAUUGUGGGUGUAGAUGUGCUUGCCGUACCUACGAACUGGCCUGCUGAAGGUGCCUCCAGAUCUGGCGUAGCCCGGGAGAACAUCAUCAAGAACUUUCUUGAUAUUUGUGUAGUCUUUCUUCGACUGACGGUCCGGGUCGAAAUACGUGGCCAUGGAAUAUUUCGGGCUUAAGAGGAUGAGUGUGCAAUGUGUGUCACUGCACAAAACACGGAAUGUUAGAAAAAAAAGAACGAUCGAAAUCUAAGAAAUCAUAUGUUACGGGGCGGUGAGGGGAUGACUUACUCGGGAAAGUAAGGCACGAGGAAGUUAUCCUUAUCUGGGUUUGCCAGAAUGACGCCUUCGAGGUAUGAACUCGUGACUUGCCGGUCCCCAGCGCUGCCCAAGAUCUUGGCACGCAUGUAGAAGGGGUCGACUAUCAUGAUGUCCGGGGUCUUGUCUCUAAUGAUCCGCAUCUCCAUACUCAGCGAAAAUAGCCGAACGAAGGUGUAGUGCAGUGGAUGAAGGUUAAACAUAGCAAAGAUGUCAUCAAACCGCAGGACGAUCGUACCCCCGAUGGCGCUAUCCACAAAGCCCUUGCCCUCUGGCACCUUGACCAUGAAAAUCGGGUAUGCCACAUCAUUCUCGGAGAGACGCCGCUUCUCCAAAGAAAGAACACUGUCAUGCAGACUACGCAUAGCACCGGUUGCAUCAUUGAGCAGAUUAGUCGGUAGCAUCGGCCUACCCGCCACAUGCACCCUCCUCGAGAUAUCCUUAGGUGAAGGUGGCCCGUCCUGAGCACGGAUCGUACUCGGUGCCGGCUGGCUCGCACCGCCCUUGUUUUUCUUUUGUUUCUGUCCCUUCUUCCUCAUCUGCUGUAAUGGGAUCGAGUUCUGCUUAGAGACCGCCUUCUUGAGUGUGUUGGGGCUGAUAAUAUUCCGCACCUCGGCUAUCUGAGGCUCGGUGAAGGCGGUAGCUGGAGGCGUCUCCUGAGAACUGAACGCCAGACGACGCCUGUUGCAAUUGGGUUUCUCCGCGGUACCAGCUAGAUCGCGGUCAUCUUUUUCAGGGUCUGGUUCUUGAGAAGGAGGCCCGAAGAAUUCGUCACCGUACCCAUGUUCAGAAAAGUACUUAUCGACGUUGGUAAAUGUACCAUCGUCGUUGUCGUCGUCGUCCGGAUCCUGUGCCAUAUGCAUGUCCGAAUCCUGUGCCAUAGGGAUGUCCGGCAUGUCCGGUAGCGUUGCGGCGGUCUUGCCAUGGCUUGGUGCCGGCACGACUGGCGGUGUUGUCUGUGGGGUGGUGUCCCCCGCCCCCAAACGAAUCUGGCUCUUCGGACAAAGCAGGGGCCAGCUUACGCAGGCGCUGAGGGUCAUCACAUCAUCUUCGUUGGCCCCAGCAGGUCAAAUUGGAGGUAACAACUCGUCGCAGCCUGGCAGCACCCGAACCAGUUCAACCCUAUACACGGUGGGUGGCAUCGGAUUACCGUGGAACACGAGGUUGCCCGGUUGAACGAUUCUGCCCUUGGCGACAUCGAUCAACUCGCCGACCACGAAGUGCAGUAGAGUGCAUGGUCGGCGGCGCCCUGCGAAAACAUGUAGGGCAUCAAGGAUGCCCAGUCAAAGGCAAGGAGAUGAAGUCAAUGGCAGAGAGGCUUAGUUACCGUGAUGGCAUCGAGCUCGGCUAAUGUCGAGGCAGCGCCAACGGCGGGCGUGCAACUGACGGAGGGGCCGCUUGUUGCCGAGGUGCCGGCCGGCAUACACCCGGGUGCAUUAAGGUCCAAUGCCCGUGCCGGCGCCGGAGACACCAAUACCGCCUCCGCCGGAGACACCAAUGGCGCCGCCUGCGCGUUGAGCGAGUUGCUGGCCGUGAAGCUGGGAACCGGGGGCGGCCCCUGUUGGCCGCCUGCAAUCGACGUCUGCAGCCCCUGAAUCAAGGUAGGCACAAUGGCGGUGAGCGUCGUUCCCAGUUGUUGUUGCACUUGCUCUUGGACAAUCUCCGGAAUCCGCACCACUUGUGCCUUGAGUUCUUGAACCUCGCGCGACUGGCUUUCCGAGCUGGUUUUUUUCUCCUUUCACCCACCAGCGUUAUAAUAUGACGACCAUUCUGUGGACAAGCCUUUGCCAGCCACACGACCAGCUGAUGACGGCUUACUGAGCUUAUCCUUGUUUUUCAUUAUGUUCAACGCCCUAUUUAGAGUGUUGUCCCAAGGGGAGCUCUGAGACGACCCCGCGCUACUGCUUUCAGUCUCCUGCGGAAGGAAUGUGAACCAUUUAGAAAUCUGGCUUCAUUAAUUAGAAUGCAACCAUAUGGAGCUAAUUACGCGGGGGUGUAUUCCUUACGAGAACACGCUCAAGCGCCUUGGUCUUCGGAUCCGUGGUAAGCUCCUUUGUUACCGUGUCCUCCUUGUACCGGGCCCUGACAUAGUUCCUGGUCUGCUUCUCACGGUAUUUCUCGAAGCGGGGCGGUAGGCCUUGCUCGACACGCUCUGCGUCCUCCUUGUCCCAUAUAGGUUCCGCCAGUCUGUAACCGCCGAGACCGAGUUUGUGGACCCCUAAGUUCAAGUCCCGCAUCUCUUUCCCCCACUGACUUGAUUCCUCGGAUGCGCCGCUCUCGCACUUGAUCUUGAACUCCUUGUAGUCAUCUUCGUUGAUCGAAGGAUUUUUCGCCUUGAUCUUCUCAUAACUAUCACCUUUGUUAAUCAUUCUCUUGACCGCGCUUCUCCAAGUAGACAGGGCCGUGCUCAUCUUCGUGAGGGCGGCACUGUUCACUUUAUUCCCUGAGAGGCGUGUGUUUGCAAAGUCAGCGGGGAACUUGUAUCGUUCGUGCAGCUUCGUGAAGAGGAGGUUGCGCAAAUUCCCUCGGUCCUUAUGCCUUAGGUUCUCGGUGUUGACCGAGACGGUGCUCCGGAGAAUGCACCCGAGCUAAACCGAGUACCCCUUGACUAAUUCUUUGGGUGCCAUUGGAUCCCUCUCGUAGUUCACUUCAGUAAAUUCCUCCUUGACGGUGCCGAGCACGUUCGGCCGCCGGUCCUUCCGUUGCCUCUUCGGUUGGCUGCCAUCUGUGCGUGCGCUGCCAUCAUCAGUGGUGGCAUCCUCGGCGGCACCAUCAGUGGUGUCAUCCCCGACGCCACUAGGGGUUGUGUAGUCAGGAUCGGUGUCUUCCGCGGCGUCCUCAUAGCGGUGAGGUUCUUCCUCCAUCUCCUGGGACAGCUCCCAGAAUGCCUUGCCGCCCGAACCGCCAGCCUCAUCGUUGUGGGCCAUGUUUCGCUCUAAAUAGGAAAAAGUUUGGUCAAAAAGUUGGUUAUUGUCAAGGAACAAGAUCUCUAAGUUGACCAAAUAACCUAAUUCUUGAGGAAUUCGCUGUUAGUGUGUUGUUGCUAAGGUCCAAGUCCCUUCCUAACCCCCUUCUUCUUGUCUCCUCUCACUAUCUCUCUCACACACAUGGCAAGCAAGGGUGUCUGAGUGUGUGAAAAAAUACUAAACUAAUCCAAGGGCUGAAAAUUGAUCAUCUGUUUCAGAUUGCAGUUUUCUUUCUUGGGGCUUUGGUGUGCGGUACAAAACUGAAUUUUGGAAAUCUACAGAAUGAACAAGCUAAGGGCUAAGAUUUCAUCAUUUAGGUUUUUAUCGACACCGAGGCACCCUAAAAGCCAAGCUUUUAUCAUUUAGGGUUUGACUCUUGGCUAACCAACCUCACCUCCUCCUCCUCCUCCUCCUCUUCUUCUUCGUCGUCUUCCUCUGAUUAAAUGGAUUUCCAGGAUGUAGGUGGAUUCAUGUGUAUAUAUACACCUACACUAACUACUAGCCAUCCAGUGUGUUUAGACUAGAUCGGGGGGUAUUGUCUUCUGUUGUGUCAUUUUCAUAGUUUCUUUCUGAUCACAGUGGAUGAGGAGCUUGAUUGGUUACUUUAAUGGCGGUCAGGGCCAGGUAGGGGAGGUGGGCAGGCAGGACAGGAGCGAGGUCAACAGCUCAUGGAUGGCUCGCACGUGGCCGCCCCCAGCUCCAAUCGUGAGAUUACGCAGGCAAAUAAACAAAGAGGAUCCUACUUAAUUAAGUACUAAGAUACCCCGGCCCAUGCAUUAGUCGCAAGUACCCCAUAUGUCCUAUUUUUAGCAAAGUCAUGCUAAAUUUCACGAAAAAUUUCAGCAUGACCUUUGCUGAAAAUAGGAGAUAUGGAGUACCCGAAUUUGCCGGAACGGAAGUUAAUUGACAUUCCGGCAAACUCAAGGGCCUCUCGGGGUACCUGCAAAAUCAUUAUCCAAUGAAGGAAUUGCGCCGCACACUGCUGCCUCACACUGCUGCCAAAAUCAUUAUCGACAUGCUGGUACUGUGUUUCUCAAAAAACAUCUUGCCAGCUAGUAGACCAUCAUUUGCCAGGCCAAACAGAAAAGCACAGUAGACUGCGGAAUCAAGAUGAUAUUUCAGAACAAGUAUAAAUGCUCACUGCACAUCAACAUCGCAAGUCAUAACAGAUAAACAACAACACUAAACUUCCCCAAGUUGCAGGCUAUACUGAUCUUCAUGGUGUAGAUAAAGUAAAAAAUGUAUAUCUAGCUAAACAACAUACAAACAUAAGAAGAAGAAAAUACUGAAUAGCGGUCACAUGCUUCAGCAAGUCCAUGAGUACAAGGCAAUUAAUAACAUUCGAUACUACAAAAUUGACAAAGCAGCACACCAUCUAUGCUAUCACAUUACAAUUGGGAAAAGGAGUGACAGAACAUACCCUCAAUGGCUUCCUUGGGAGUCUUGAAACUAAGGCCAGCACUCUUCCAGAACCUGUUGCCCUCCUUGCCAGGCUUAUUAUUCCCCUUUGUGGUCUUCUUUGAGCUAUAAUUGCAAAUCAAGUCAUGAUCACCAAUUCAGGACACACAUUUUACCAUCUUACUUAUAUAAUGAAAAAACAACAGUUCCUCGUACCAGAGGAACACCUUAGGCUGCUUCAGGAAAGCCUUCUCAGACUGCAAAAACCAGCAAAACUGUUUAGGACAUGUUGUUUGAUAAAGCCUGAGAAUACCUAAGCAUCCCAACCAUUUUGUCUAAUAUGGCUACCUUGUGACCAAGAAAUAUAGAGCCAGUAGCGUGGCAAGCUUAUCCAGGAACUUUAGCUUAUUGACCCAUGGGCAAUGGGGAUUAGAGGGUGACAGUGAGUAGAACAAUAGCCUAACUUUCACAAGUUAAUAUAAAAAAUCCAUCUAUGACAGAAACUGAAAGUCCACCUGCAGAACAUUGAAAUUAGCAAAUGCAAGGAGCAGUGAUCAAACGUAUAUAUGCCACUACACUGCUAUUUUGGAAUGUCCAGUCUCAGUCACUUGAAGUAACAAGAACAAGAACAAGAAGAGCAAGCAGGAGCAUAUUAUGGGGCGGCUACUACUCGAACUUCUUGAUGAGUGAGAGGUCAUUGAGCAUCUUGUCGACAACAACAAUGUCGCCAACUUGCUGACAGGCAACUAGAUGUCAUCACUUGAGGAAAAAAAAGUAAGCCACCAAGCAACAUUGAAACGGUAAGCACAGUUAGCAAGGAGAGCAGAGCACAAAGGCAGCAGCUCCCAGGCUCCCAGCUGAUUUUACUCCAAGAGAUAACAUACUAGUUAGCAACCAUAGCCACUAAUUAAGCAACAGCGUCAGAAUGCUACCAUAACAACAGUUAAUAAAUAGAUCAGCACACAGGAGGCAGCAAAGGUAAUAAGUAAUAACUCAUGGCUGAUUCGAUUGCAAGUGACCACAACAACAGUUCAGUUACUAGUUCAUCAAUGGUUGAGGAAGAAUAUAGUCACCUCGCCAGCGCAAUCCACACUCCAGCAGCUAGGGAUGGUCGCACACUCACAGAUCCACCACCUGCGCAAGAAAACCACGGGAUAUACCAUCAGAAAUAGAAGUGAAAAUCCGAAGACACAAAUAUGUAUGUCACCAUAGAUCAAACAAGCAGCAGUAGCGACACGAGGGGCGGCGGCGGCGAGCUCCUACACCUAACCCUAGGUCGCCGCCCCAUGGGGGCAUGGGGAUGAGCGGGGAGAGAGGGAGGGAGGGAGAGAGACUAACCAGAGGCCGCGCGGGGAGGCUCGCGCCGCCGUCAAGGAGCGCGUCCGACGAGGCUAGCCGCCGUCGAGGGGCAGCUCCGACGAGGCAGCCGCCACCGGGAGCAAGAGAGAGAUUUGGGGGCGGCGGCGGUCUCGUGGGGGUCGGGGGCGGUGGGGGUCGGCGUCGGGGGCAGUGGGNNNNNNNNNNNNNNNNNNNNNNNNNNNNNNNNNNNNNNNNNNNNNNNNNNNNNNNNNNNNNNNNNNNNNNNNNNNNNNNNNNNNNNNNNNNNNNNNNNNNNNNNNNNNNNNNNNNNNNNNNNNNNNNNNNNNNNNNNNNNNNNNNNNNNNNNNNNNNNNNNNNNNNNNNNNNNNNNNNNNNNNNNNNNNNNNNNNNNNNNNNNNNNNNNNNNNNNNNNNNNNNNNNNNNNNNNNNNNNNNNNNNNNNNNNNNNNNNNNNNNNNNNNNNNNNNNNNNNNNNNNNNNNNNNNNNNNNNNNNNNNNNNNNNNNNNNNNNNNNNNNNNNNNNNNNNNNNNNNNNNNNNNNNNNNNNNNNNNNNNNNNNNNNNNNNNNNNNNNNNNNNNNNNNNNNNNNNNNNNNNNNNNNNNNNNNNNNNNNNNNNNNNNNNNNNNNNNNNNNNNNNNNNNNNNNNNNNNNNNNNNNNNNNNNNNNNNUGGAGCGGGCCGGGGAGGGUGCGGGGGUCGGCGACAACGGUGGAGCGGGGAGGGUGCGGUGGGUGCUCGGCGGCGGUGGAGCGGGGGAGGGUGGGGGGUGCUCGGCCGCGAGGGGGAUCUGGCGAGGGGGGAUAGCGUUCGAGAUGGAGGGGGAUCGAGAUCGAGUGUCCUCAUGAAUAUUCAAUAUUUUUUCAUAUUGAAUAUGAAAAAAUAUCAUCAACUUUGAAAAAAUAUUCAUGAAUUCAAAAAGUGCCCAUGAAAUUUAAAAAUAUUCAUGAGUUCAAAAAAUAUUAACAAAUUCAAUACUUUUUGUGAGUUAGAAAUUCAAUACCAGAAUAAACAUAAAUAAAUAUUCAUGAGGACACUAGAACAGAAGAAAUAUCAUUUCAAUAUGUCGAAAUACAAUCGAGAAAUGAGGGCUACAAUUUAAAUACAAUCGAUCUAGAUAGCUAUCUGUUCACAAUCUUCUUGCCCUUAUUUUUCGUAAAUGGAGUUCUUCUCUUGAACGGACGUCCUUUAGGUAGGGUGGUCCUGCUUCUUCUUGUGGUGUAUGCUGGUACUUCAUCGUCGUCGUCAUGUUCCAUCUUCGGGUCGCCGUACUUGUCGAAGUCUUGCUCAUUGGCGACUCCAUCCAUUCCGAUGAUCUUCCUUUUGCCUCUCCUCAUGACAACAUGACUGGGCUUUGACGGGUCGGUAAUGAAGAAGCACUGGUCCACUUGGGAAGCCAGUACCCAUGGCUCAUUUUUUGCGGUGAAGUUUGCGCCCGCGGUCUUGGAUUUGGCUUCGGGUAUAACCAUGGUGGUGAAAUACCGGUCUUCUUUUAGGACGCUCUUGGCCCAUCUGACACGGAACAUCGGGACCUUCUCUCCAGCGUAGCUCAGCUCCCAGAUCUCCUCGAUCCUUCCGUAGUAUCUGUCCUUGUCGUUACCGGUGUAGGAUUCCAUCGUUACCCCGGAGUUCUGAUAACCAUCGCUCUUCCUGUCCUUUCCCUCGGUGUAGAAUGUGUAGCCGUUGAUAUCGUAUGCCUCAUACGUCAUCAGGUUGUGCUCGGCACCCUGUGACAAGGCGAAUAUGAGUUGUUCUUCCGUGGAAGAAUCCUCAUGUAAAGGGUACGACAAAAGCUUCUGCUUGAACCAACGCGUGAAACAUGAGUUGUGCUCUUUGAUUAUAUCUCCGUCCGUCCUCUGUUGGCCUUGGUCAUUGUACGUCUUCUCAAUAAAGGUUUUGUGCUCUACCACCCAAGGAUCGACCACGUCUAUGUGUUGUAGCGCGACUAGGUUUGCUCUUUCAAAGUCGGCGAGUCAACCCUCGAAGUCGACAUGCAUUUCGCAGCGACCCUCACGGUGACCCCAUCCAGCAAGCCUGCCGAGGUGCCUGUUGAUGGGCAGACCAACGGGGUUCUCGAUGCCUAGAUAAUUCGUGCAGUAGGAGAUGCACUCUUCGGUCAGAAAGCCCCUGGCUAUGCUUCCCUCUGGACGUGACAUGUUGCGAACGUAUCCUUUGAUGACACCAUUCAUCCUUUCGAACGGCAUCAUGCUAUGCAGGAACGUCGGCCCGAGUUGGAUGAUAUCCUCCACGAUAUGGACCAGCAGAUGCACCAUAAUGUCGAAGAAUGCGAGCGGGAAGUACAUCUCAAGCUCGCAUAGUAUCACCACGAUCUCUUCCUGUAGCCUUCCGAGUUGCCUCACGCCAACCGACUUCCGAGAGAUGACGUCGAAAAAGUUGCAUAGGCCAAAUAGCGUUUCACGGACGUGCGCAUCCAUGAUCCCACGGAUUGCAACUGGAAGUAUCUGCGUCAUCAGCACAUGACAGUCGUGAGACUUCAUUCGCUAAACUUCUGCUUCGCUGAGUCUAGGUAUCUGCUUAUCUUCCCCGCGAAACCGUAAGGAAGUUUUACUCCUACGAGGCAGGUGAAAAACUGAUCGAUCUUCGCCUGACUUAGAGUGAAGCACGCGGGAGGGAAGUCAUUUCCGGUCUUCUUGGCCUUUUUGCCUUUGCGACGACUUUCCGUGUCCUGCUUCGCCUCAUCAUCAUCAUCAUUAGCGUGAAGCCCCUCCCUGAGGCCCAUUGAUUUCAAGUCUGCCCUUGCUUUCGGCCCAUCUUUGGUCCUCUCUGGCAUGUUGAGCAGGGUACCAAGCAGACUCUCGCACACGUUCUUCGUGAUAUGCAUGACAUCAAGGCUAUGAGGCACACGAUGGAUCUUCCAGUACGGCAAGUCCCAGAAAACAGACCUCGUUUUCCAUACCUUCAGCAACGGCUCUUGCGCCUUUCACUUCUUUCCUGGCUCUCGCGCCUUUUGCUUCUUUCUCGGCAGUGGGCAAUCUUUCCAAUUUUUCAACAGCUCGUCUAUUUCCUCGCCGCUCCUCGUACGCGGGCGUCUUCGGGUUUCGGUUUCACCAUCGAACAGAUCCUUGCGUUUCCUCCAUGAGUCAUCAUCGCGAAGCCACCUUCGAUGUCCCAUGAACACGGUUUUCGAAGACCCGGGAUCUCUAUCUAGCUGGCGAUACAUUGUGUCAUCCAUGCACCUGACGCAUCCAGAAAAUCCGUGGACCACCUGCCCCACGACAUAUCCGUAACCGAGAUAGUCGUGCACUGUCGUGAGCAGUGUGUCUCUCAUAGGGAAAUAUUCUUUCUCUGCGGCGUCCCACGUAUUGGCUGGCAUUUUCCACAGCGUAUCUAGCUCCUCUUUCAGCAGCCCCAGAUACGGAUUGAUGUCGUUCCCUAGUUGUUUUGGCCCUUCAAUUAGCAUACUCAUGUGAAUGUACUUCCUCUUCAUGCACAACCAGGGGGAAGGUUGUACAUCCACACAAACACAGGCCAGGUGCUAUGUGUGCUUCUCUGGCUGCCAAACUGAUUGACUCCAUCGGUGCUCGCGCCCAGCACGAUGUUCCUUGGAUCGUUCCCAAAUUCUGGGUGUUCGAAGUUCAACGCUUGCCACUGGCUCCCAUCCUUAGGGUGACUCGGCAUCUUGUCUUUUUUAUUUAUCUCCGGAUCAUUUGCGUCAUCUUCUCGCUUCUUCUCCUCCCUAUCCGCGUGCCAACGCAAGAGCUUUGCUACCUUAGGGUCCGCGAAAUACCGCUGCAGACGAGGAGUGAUCGGAAAGUACCACACCACUUUUCGAGGAGCUUUCUUCCUCUUCUUGUAUCAAGUGACGCCGCACACCGGACAUAUGGUAGACUCUGCGUGCUCAUCCCGAUAAAUAAUGCAAUUGUUCAUGCACACAUGGUAUUUCACGUGCGGUAAAUCCAGAGGACACACGAUUUUCAUCGCCUCCUCGAAACUGGUCGGGCACUUGUUCCCCUUGGGAAGACGUUCGUGCCAGAAUGACAUGUUCUCGUCGAAGCAUGCGUCGGUCAUUUUGUGUUUUACCUUCAUCUCCAGAGCCAUGAGCGUUACUUUCAGGCGGGUAUCCUCGGGCCUGCAUCCUUCAUACAAUGGAGUAACCGCGCCUAUCUCCAGUUGAUCCAGCUUGGCUUUCUCUCGGGCGGCAGCUCUUGCGUUAUCCGUCUGCUUGAGAAGCAGCUCUUGAAUAUGAGGAUCCUGCACCCAGCCCAUCGAUGGUCCAUCGUCGUCUGCUCCAGCAUCUUCAUCUUCAUGAUCAUGCCCUUCGUCUGCUCUGGCAUCUUCCUCAUCAUCAUCUCCGGCAUCUUCUACAUGAUGACUGUGUACUGCAUCUACUUCGUGAUCAUGUCCUGGAGAUUCUUCGUCUUCCCGCCCGCCCUCGCCGCGGUUGUCUUGCUGCCCUUCCUCAUUUCUUGCCCGGCCCCCAUGGACGACUUCAUAAUCAUCUUCAUCACCUUGCCACCGAUAGCCAUCCAUGAAACCACGCAAGAGCAGGUGGUCCCGCACCUGUACGGAAUCCGGGUCCAUAAGGCUCCUCAGCUUGCAUCUUCGACACGGACAUCUUAUCUCCGUUUCGUUCUUUUGAAGCAUCUCGGCCUUCGCGGAGCUCAAAGACCUAUUCACGAUGCCUUCGGUCAUCGUGCGGACCAUGGUCGCCUGCGGGGUAGAGCAAAACGAUAUUUUAGAACCAAGAAAAAAAUUGGCAUGACUUUGCCUAAAAAUAGGACCAAAAAGAAUGCAUAGUGCCAAAAUUCUCGCUGAAACGGAAAUGAAUCAACAUUCCGGGAAAAAAUUGGCAACUAUCGCAUUUCAAAUACCAGUACCUGCAAACACAAACAUAUAUGCAACACCACAAACAUAUGCAACACCACAAACAUACAUAGAUCUAGCUAGGCCAUAAAAAGUGCAUGUGCACGUUGUUGGAGGGAGAAAAAAGUAGAUCUACAACAUAAAGAAAGCUUUCCCCUUACUUACCUAUCAAAAAAGGUAAUUUAACCACUUAAUUUGGAGGAGGAGGAGGCAGCCGAGACAAGCUUGGAGGAGGAGGUGGAGAGAAUGACGUGGGGAAAGUGAGUGUGUAGGUGGCUGUCCAAAAUAUCUAGCUGGUCCCAGGUUACUAAUGGCGCACCACCCACAAAUGCGCCAUUAGUAACCCUGGUUACUAAUGGCGCACCAGCUGGCGGUGCGCCAUUAGUAGUUUUGCAACAAAAAAUGAUAGUAGUGGCGCACGGGGUGACUGGUGCGCCAUUACUAGUUAAAACUAGUAAUGGCGCACUAUGCCCCGGUGCGCCAUUAGUAUUUUUGGAAAAAAAUUGUUAGUAGUGGCGCACCAUGGUUGUGGUGCGCCAUUACUGUCUAUCACACUAAUGGCGCACCAACACACGGUGCGCCACUGCUAUAUAGUAGAGGCGCACCGCAUGUCUGGUGCGCCAUUAGUGUCCAUAUUAUCUAUAGCCCUUUUCCUAGUAGUGUCAACUACAACGGUUUUAUUUGCCUUUUGCUAAGUUUCUUUUUCUUUUGCUAAGAUUUCUGAUGUUUUCAAACCAGUGUUUAUCAACCCGGUCGGGCUGUCAACUACAAGUCGUCAGUACAGGACCAAGUUAUAAUCCGGAGACUAUCAGCCCGGUCUGGUUUUGACUCAUAGUCACUAGUAUGGAAUAAGCCGGUGUUUAUCACAACCCGGAACGGUUUUGUUGUAAACCGGCAUUAUAUAACAGGAGAUACUUUUACUCCGUAUUAAGGUUAUUACCUUCAUUACAAGGUUGGUCAGCCAACACUAUGCCUAAAGGUCGCAGGUAUCAUAUAUUUCCAUAUUUGGUUGUCUUUUACAACCUUGGUUAUAAAACUUGGUCAUAUAUAUAGUUGGGUAUCAUGACCCGCCCGGUGGUAAACCACCAGGGUGCUUUAAGCUUUUUAUCUGCAGGAACAACUGGAAUAAAUAGCUAUGGAUUAUGAACAUCAUAUCUCAAGCAUGGUGGAUUAACAUGCAUCAGUUGCAGAUAAAUAUGCACGAAGGCAUAACAGACCAAGUGUUUUAACUAGCCUAUUACAAGGCGUUUCAGUGCCCAAAGGAAUAAUUGUUUCUCAAUAAACAUUGCAGUAUGGAAGAUUAAACCGGCCCCCGGGUAAUGAUCAUUGAGCAGCUUGACCUAACGGCUGCGGGUCAUCUUACACCGGUUCAUCUUCUUCGUCCCUACCCAGCGGCUGGAAGUCAACAGUUGUCCAGUCGAUCCCAGUUAAAGCUUGGAACACAGCUUCGUCGCUUAUAAGGGUGGACGGUUCAAUAUCAGGGGCAUAAGUGUGCUUACGGAUUGGAGGGAUCAGGUUUUGAGCCUCAGGAGCUGGUGCAGCAACCCGCUUGUUAUUGAUAUCAUAACUCGCCUGGUAAUGUGAAAGAUCAGCCUCUUCAGCAAGUGGACAAGCCAGUGGACGUACUUCCCGGUUUAUGGCGCGGAGAUCUUCAGUGCAAAAUUCUGACCCGUCUUCUUUCAUGCUUGGGUAGCCAUUAGCCACGUCCGUCGGGUCAAGAUCAGGCACCCAUGCUUUUGCCCGGGUUAGCGCGGCCAGAGCGCCAGCCCUUGCAGCAGACCUCUUCAGCUCUUCUACCCGGGCAUGCAGCAUAGAUAGCAUGUCUAAGGUAUCUUUGAUUAACGUCAGGGGCGGCUUAUUGUGAGAAGCGGUGCAGAUAAUUCGUUGAGCGCCGGUAUACAUUUGUUCUAUCAGCGUAUAGGCAGCCUUCAGCUUCUUCUGAACAUUAGAGCCCAGAUGACUAAUGCGAGUUCCUGCAUCAUUGCAAACAUCAGUAAACCAGCAACACAUGGGAAGAUAUGUUGACAGUACUAAACACAAGAUGCUUACCAAACACAUCAGCAGUCAUAGCAUGCACUUGUCGCUUUACACCAGUCAGCUCGUCAACCACCGGUUUAAGAGCGGCUUCUGCGUUUUCAGCCCUUUUCAUCAAAGCGGCUUUUUUAGUCUCCCAAUCCGCCCGCUCUUUGUUGAAACCCUCUUUCAGUUUCUCCAUAGCGCUUAGAGCGCGGGUCAACUCUUCCUUCGCGUUGGAGGCUUCAGCUUGCUGGGUUUUGAUGUUAUCUUCCAGAUCAGCAGUUUGGCGUUCCUUCUUGAUCAGCUCCGCCUGUAAAGAGACAGAUACAUAAUGAGUUGACAAUACAUAUUUGAAGUACCAAGCACAUAACAAGUUAUGCCCUUAGUACUUGGGGGCUAAUGCAUAUUUGCUUUUACUCAGAAAUUUUUACAAGUCCCAAGCACAAUACAAGUAUUAAGCUUGGCACUUGGGGGCUAAUGUGUGUUUGCUCAAAAAGCUGUUGAUAUGGGAAUUCUUCUACAGUCCUGGUUCAUCUUUAUAAAAUUAAACCGGCCCUUGGGGACUAUACUGGCGAAAGAGCAGUAUGGCAAAUUUUAAGGAACCGGUUCAUCUUAACAAGGUAAUUCGGUACCUGGAGGCUAAAUAGGCAAUUUUAAGUUAUGACAAAAGUCCCGGUUUAGAUUGGUAUCAUAAACCGUCACUUGGGGGCUACUAGGAGUCGAUACCAAACGGAGUCCAAACGCAGUGAAACUUUUUGUGGAUUUUCUUGGACCAGAAGACAUCCAGUGGGCCAAAGAAGUACCGAAGAGGGAGCCCGAGGUGAGCACAAGACACCAGGGCGCGCCUGGAGGCCCAGGUGCACUCUAGUGGGUUGUGCCCACCUCGGUGGCCUCCCGAACCGCCUCUUUCCUCUAUAUAUAAAUACCCAAUAUUCCAGAAAUCCUAGGGGUGUCGACAAAAAUCAAUUCCAGCCGCCGCAAGUUCUAGAACCACCAGAUCCAAUCUAGACACCAUCAGUGAGGGGUUCAUCAUGUCCAUUAGUGCCUCUCCGAUGAUGCAUGCGUAGUUCUUUGUAGACCUACGGGUCCGUAGUCAGUAGCUAGAUGGCUUCCUCUCUCUCUUUUGAUUCUCAAUACAAUGGUCUCUUGGAGAUCCAUAUGAUGUAACUCUUUUCACGGUGUGUUUGUUGGGAUCCGAUGAACUUUGAGUUUAUGAUCAGAUCUAUCUUUUUAUCCAUUAAAGUUAUUUGAGUCUUCUUUGAUCUCUUAUAUGCAUGAUUGCUUAUAGCCUCGUAUUUCUUCUCCGAUAUUUGGGUUUUGUUUGGCCAACUUGAUCUAUUUAUCUUGCAAUGGGAAGAGGUGCUUUGUGAUGGGUUCGAUCUUAUGGUGCUUGAUCCCAGUGACUGAAGGGGAACCGACACGUAUGUAUCGUUGCUAUUAAGGAUAACAAGAUGUGGUCUAUUUCUACAUAAAUAGAUCUUGUCUACAUCAUGUCAUCAUUCUUAUUGCAGUACUCUGUUUCUCCAUGAACUUAAUACACUAGAUGCAUGCUGGAUAGCGGUUGAUGUGUGGAGUAAUAGUAGUAGAUGCAGGCAGGAGUCGGUUUACUAAUCUAGGACAUGAUGCCUAUAUAAUGAUCGUUGCCUGGAUAUCAUCAUGAUUAUUUGAAGUUUCACUACUAGGGAAAACCUUAUACAGAGAAUCUUACCAGUAGUGAGGGACAAAAACAAGCGCUAUUACUACUUACCAGUAGCGCGUGGCACUAAAACGCGCUGCAGCUAAGUUCAUAGCAGUAGCGCGUCUCAGGGAAGAAGCGCUACAACUACAAUUCCCCUAUUGUUCUCGGUAGGCUACCAAUAGUAGUAGCGGGCUUAGAAAAAGCACGCUACUGCUAAGGUGGUUGUAGUAGCGUGUUUCACGGGGAAAUCGCUACUGCUAAUGAACGGAAAAUAAAAUGGAAAACAUAUGGAAUUGUAAAGGAAAAUGAAAGAAAUAGAAAAAGGGGAAGGAAAAAAAGAAAAUGUGAAGGAAAACAAAUGAAAUAGAAAAAUAAAGGAGAAAGGCGUAGCAGCAGCGUGCUUUGCGGGAAGGCGCUAUAGCUAACUUAGUAGUAGCGCACUUCGUAAGCCCGCGCUAUAGCUAAGUUAGCUAUAGCUAAUGUAGGAGUAGCGCCUUUCCUGGAACGCGCUACUGCUACUUCUGACUUAACCGCGCGGUUCUUUCUUCCCCACGACCACUUCCCCCAAAUCGAACUCCUCCGCUGUCGCCGCCGUCAUCGCCCAGCAUCACCGUCGGCCACCGCGCGCUCUCGCGUCGCUCUCCGCAAGCCCUCGACGCCGCCCCAAACCCCGACCUCGACGCCGCCCCCGACCCCGACCUCGACGCCGCCCCCGACCCUGACCUCGACACCGCCCUCCACCGCGCGCCCGAGCCCCGACCCCGACCUCGACGUCACCUGCCCCUCCCUCGCCGUCGGCACCCGAGGUGAGCACGCCUCCUCCUCCCCCUCCCUACCUCUGCCUAACUAAAGUUCCUAGGGUUCAUCAAAUUUUAGAUUGCAUCAAAUUAGUUAGGGUUCAUCAAAUUAGAUGCUAAUUAGUGCAGUAGUUCCUAGGUAGGUUCAUCUAAUUAGUUAGUAAGAACUAGGGCAGUAGUGCUUAAUAGAAUUAGUAAGAAAAUUAAUAGAACUAGUUGAACUAGUUUUUUGUGUAAGAACUAGUGGAAUUAAUAGAACAAGUGUACUUUUAGUAAGAAAAUUAAUAUAACUAGUUGAACUAGUUUAUUUUUAGUAAGAACUAGUAUAUUUUUAUUUAUAGUAAGUUUAUUUUUAGUAAGAACUAGUUGAAUCAAUAGAACUAGUUGAACAUGUCACAUUUGUUGUUAUUUUUUUAGUUAAAGAAAUUAUUCCGCAUCGACGUCGAUGAUGCCUAUCCCUCAUCCUCGUCGUCGACUCGGCGAAGGACACCUGCUUGAUCAGAUGGGCCAUGUCCGGGACUGGGCUCCGCCGGGUUGAUACUGGGAGGCGCUACCUACCGAGGGGCGCAGCUUGGUGAGGAGCUAGCCCGUCGUUGACCCGAACCUUCUUUGUUGGCGGUCGCGUGGGACAGUGACGGUGCAGAGGCUUGUGGACCCCGCGGAGGUGGUAUGUCACCGUGUCAGCGAGGAGGACGCGCACGUCCAUCGCUACAUGGUUGCGUUGGAGCGCAGGUUCUCCAAUACCUGGCAGGUUCUCCAGGGAUCUCACUGGAGCUAUGAUCCUGUGAUGGUUCCUUCUCUUUGGGUGUCCACCGCCCACGCCGAUACCCGUCGUUCGCUAGGUUUUUAGUUGUAUUAGUGAUGUUAUAUGUAUGAUACUAUUCGGGAUGUAUUAGUGAUAAUAUUCGACGAUGUACGGACGCAAGAGAUGAUUUACUUUUGCUUAUUUAAUGCAUGCUAAUUUGAAUACUUAUUUAUUUUACGAUUUGGUUUUGCUUAUUAAAUGCUCAAAUUGGAGAAUUAAUCAUAUUUUGAAUGCUCAAAUUGUACCCCACUAUGCAAGGCGUAUGCAUUUGAUUAGUUGAUAGCUUAUAGGGUUUUUGUUUUUGCAGAAAUCUAGGAGCCCCUCCAUCAUCCCCGCCGUCGUCCCCGUCACCGACCCCCUCCGACCUCGAGGUGAGACCAGCCAAAUCUCCAUGUCAAUAUGAGUUCUAUAAGAUAUUUUGAAAUGUUUUUGCUCAUAUUUUCAACCAUUGAAAUGCAAUGACCAUCAAGUUUGAAUAAUCAUAUGAUGUAGAUAAAAACAUGUAUAUCUUGUGUUGCUCAAAUAGGAUAUGUGAUUGCCCAAGUGGCCGGUCAUGUUUGCAGGUUACACCUCCGAGUGGCCUAUGUUUUGCCAGAGUGUUUAUUAACUUCCGUUCCGAUAAAUUUCAGGCGCUCGAUAUGUCCUUUUUUAGUAAAGGUCAUGCCAGAUUUUUCCGUGAAUUUUGGCAUGACUUGUGCUAGAAUAUGUAGGAAAUAUCGAGUGGCCUGGAUUUUCUAGAAAGAUAAUUAAACGAUAUUUCGGGUUGACUUAAAGUCUGUCGAGGCUCCACCAUAUAUGAGAGGAUGAAGAAUCCCGACUGUUGUCGUGGGGGUCGUUUCUCCUUCUUCUCAUUGUGCUAGACCUUUGUUAUGCACUAGGGGAAGGAGGAGUGGCGACCAUCACCGACGGUCGCAAAUGUCAGAGAGGAAUCAGUGAGGGAGAGUCUCCACCAUAUAUGAGAGGAUGAAGAAUCCCGACUGUUGUCGUGGGGGUCGCUUCUCCUUCGUUCCCGUGUGCUAGACAUUUUGGUGUAAUGCACUCGGGUACGAAAGGAGGAGCGAUCAUCACCAACGGUCGAAUGUAUACACCACGUGAGCUGAGAGUUUUCAAGAAAAGACUCGACAGAUCGAUAGUCAACUCGUGAUGAAUAAUAAUGAUCUAAUUUAAUUUUUUUAGUACAUAUAUUUAAUUGUACAAGCUUAAUCUUUGAAUUAUGAACAUAGGAAAUGUCGUACUCGGACGACGGAAGUCUUCCGGGGGAGUGCGACUGGUGCAACGACGACCGAGAUCUGUGCGACAUGCCUCACCUGGACGAAGAUCGGCGCUUCAACAUUAAGCUCCAGGAGACCUUCGAUGUUGAAAUGGUACACAACGAUGACAAGUGUUUUUUUCGUAAUUAAGCACGACUUCAACUAUUUCAACGUGUAAUUUUCAUCUUUUACAAUUCGACUAGCUUAUCCCAUGCCAUGCAAGACGCUAUGUCUUGGAGAGGAUGGGUUUUGAAGACCAUGAAAGUUUAGAAACAAAGAAAAUUCACCUAAGGACCCAUCAUGGUAUGGAUUUUGAAGUAUAUAUAUACAAUUCUCAGAGCGUAACCCACUUUGGUUGCACAAAUUGGGAAGCACUUUGCAAGAUGUAUGGUUUUUAUGAUGAUAUGGUUGUCACCAUGGAUCUUGGUGAUCCUGACAUCGAGCAAGACAAUAUGGACAUGUGGGUCCUUGUUGAUACGCUUCCAAUUCUACCGCUAUGUAAGUUUCUCAAACAUAGUUAUUAACUAAUUUAUAUUGUUAUUUCAAAAUAGUUGACAGCUUUUUUCCAUUGACAACUUAUUUUCAUUCUUCAGACAAUGUGCGGAAGAUGGUAGACAGGACCUACUACACCGAUGGCUCCGAAUUAACUUAUCAGGAGAAAAAUCAUCUGAUCGCAUUUUGUACUGAACUUGAGAAUUACAAUAUCUAUUAUCAAACUCCUCCACAUUAUGGUCAAUACGUGCCAGUAGUGCAUGUGUUGAACCACGGUAACAUCCAUGGAGAUGCCAUGGUAAGAUUUUUUACUAUUACGACAUCCGUGCAUCUUUUGCAUACUUCUAAAAAUGAACUACAUUGCUAACUACGAAGUUAUUACUACGUUUUUCUACAGAAAAUCCCGAAGGAUUGUGUGCCUCAUCUGAUGUAUCAGAAUGGUCGCCUUGAUGUUUUGAACAUACAACCAGGUCAUCCUACGAAUCUCACCUGUCCAUAUCGGAUUUAUAAAAUCGGUGAACACAUGGUAAUCAAAGAAUGGAAAAAAUGUAUGGACAGUCGUAAGGAGCUUCAUGGAAGCAACAUUGUGCGAAAGGAAAGAAUUGGAGAUAGGAUAAUCUCCAUUCUCCAUAAUGGAGAGUCAGGGGCUAUCUUGUUUUAUGCUAUUUUACCUAAGAGAAUAUAGUCGGUCCUAAGAGAAUGUAGUAGGUCCUAUGAGGUACAAUGUUUAUUAUGUGGUACAAUGUGUUAGAGAUGAUGAUGAGGAGUAGUUGUGAUUAUGACUAGUGACCAACUUGCUAUGUGAUGUCUCAUUGAUGAAAAUGAUGAUCAUGAGGAGGUGUUAUAUGACAAUGAUGUAUUAUGAUGAUAAGUUGUUAAUGAUAUGAUGAUGAUGACGAUAUUUAUUAUAUCAUUGGGUGAAAGAACCGCAGAUUAGUUUCAAGUGGAUGUCCAUCCACUUGAAACUAGUCCACAGUUCUUUCACCGAGUGAUGUAAUAACUCAUUAUGAUGUAAAAACAAUCUCUAAAUUGCUGCUGUAUGAAAACUUGUAUAAAGGUGUAUGAAUACAACAUGAAAUAAAAAAGAAAUAAAAUACGGAAUAAUAGUAGUAGCGCGGGCUGGGAGAAGCGCUCCUAGUAAUUACUAGUAGCGCUCUUUGGAGAAAGCGCUACUACCAAGUUUAUAUAGUAGUAGCGUGGGUUAACCCACGCUACUGCUAACCUUUAACUGUAGCGCCGUACCAGUAGCGCUCCUGCCCGCGCUACUGUUAGGCCUAAAACACGUGCUCCUGCUAGGCUUUUCCGUAGUAGUGUUUUAUCAAUUGCCCAACAGUAAUUCGUUUACCCACCGUUUGCUAUUUUUCUCGAGAGAAGCCACUAGUGAAAUCUACGGCCCCCGGGUCUCUUUUUUUAUUAUAUUUGCCUUUGCGAUCUAUUUUUAUUUGCUUUUAUUUUCAUAUCUAUAUUUCCAAAACCCAAAAAUACCUUGCUGCAUUAUUCUUAUUUAUUUUAUCUCGCGUUCCCGCGAGAUCUAUUUAUCCAAUAUAUCAUAUUUUUAUCCCCUCUACUUGCCAAUUUCUGGCGCCGUUGCUUGAAAGGGAUUGACAACCCCUUUAACAUGUCGGGUUGCGAGUAUUUGUUAUUUGUGUGCAGGUGUCGUUCAUGUAGUGUUGUGUGGUUCUCCUACUGGUUCGAUAACCUUGAUCUCAUCACUGAGGGAAAUACCUACCGUUGUUGUG
rnacentral:lncRNA from 1 species